UGGCGGCCGGGUGGUGUGGUGGUGUGGUGGUGCUGUGGUGGUGGUGGUGUGGUGGUGGUGGUGGUGGUGGUGCUGGCGGCGUGGGUGGUGGUGCGGCGACCGUGGGUGGGUGACAGCAACCGUGGGUGCGUGACGGCGGCUGUUUUUUUUAUUUUUUUCAAAAAAAGUACGCCGAGUGUUUUUUGGCACUCGGCAUCUCUUUGCCGGGUGCCCGACAAAAAACACUCGGCAAACUAAUGUUUGCCAAUAGUUUUUUUGCCGUGUGCCCUAGGCAAAGGGUUCGCCGAGUGUUUUAAGGGCUUCGCCGUGUGCCUGGUGCAAACCUUCCGUUUCUGGUAGUGAAAUAUACCAUUGAAUCGAUUUGCUAUACAGUCACAGAUCAUAUAGAUCUCGACAUCCAAUGCCCUUUGGAGGUCUCCUUGGAAUCCACAUCUCUUCAUCAAAAGACUUGGCAAAUGGGCAGAAAGAUGACAUGCACAAGAAUUUGAUCAACAUCCCGCAACAGCAAUAUAUAGACCAUGAAGUGCAUUCCAAAAUGAAAGUGAACAUCGUUUUGCAAUACUCUUACAGCUGAUACCACAUACCGAAGUUAAGGAGUUGAAGAUAACAUAGGACUAUCCUUAUUAUUCUACGGAAUGAAUUUGAAGGAAACAUAAGUAAAAGAGUACAUGCAAAGUACAGCCCUGAUAACAAACAACGACUGAAACUAUUUAUUAUUGAUCUAUAUCUCUACAAUGAUGCCAACAAUAGCAUGUCGAUAUUUGCUUCUAAGAACGCCUUUUAGUGCAUUUCUUAGAGUCUACUUCAUCUUCGUCAGAUGGCUCAGAUUCAGACCACUUUACCUUGCGGCGACGGAAAGAUGCAAAGCACCGAACCACAACUCCUACUCUCUUCAAAAGCAUCUUCAUCUUCCUUGUUUUCUUGGAUCCUUGGUGGUUGGAGCCUCCGGACUCAACAUCACUCCUAGUGGCUUCUUCCGGUUGAGGGGUAUUUGUAUGCACCAUUGUUGUAGUCACACGGUGGGAUGAAGGAUUUGUGAUGGAAACUCUACCUUGGAUCCCAACAUGAUGAGUUUCACCAGGAGCAACUUGUGUAUAGACCAUGGCCGCAGCCCUGGUGGCUGUAGUAAUAUUAGGGGCUGGCUUGUUGGCUGUAGAUUCACCAGCCCUAAUACCUCGAGGUGUGGACAUGGUGUUCCCUGCUCCUACCUCUCCACCUCUAUUCUAUCUCUCUCACGCUCAACUAUGCGCACCCUCACUUAGUGGAAAAGUUGUGGUUAUAAAGACAACCUUACUGGUGGUUGGCAUGAACUGAUAGCUGGUUUUAACUCAUAACUCUACUGGAAUUUGUUUGUUAGCUCAACAAUUUUGUCUGUUCAAAGCUAGUGCAGCCAAAAUACACAUGGGCAUAGAGAAAAUAACUAAAUCAAUCUUUACUACCCUGUCCUCCCAACUCUUGUUGUGGUUCCAUAGAUAUUUCAGAAACACUUUUCCGCAGCAGCCAAUCCAUCAUAGGAGAGUUUACAAAGAUUGUAUAGAACAAAUAUCUGUUCCUCCUAGUUUCUUUAAAAUUAAUGAAUUUCCCGCAAUCUGACAACAAAAAUGAUCUACAAGUGAUGUGGAAUUUACGAAUAUUUAGUUUUACACAAAAAUGUUUAAUUAAAAUUUCAAGAUCUAAAAUAUGAAAGUUUGUCUUAUCAGGAAAUCAAGAUAGAAAAGCUUGGAGUAGCCCAAAAAUACUCCUAAUGGAAUGCCUCAUCUUCAAGAAUUUUUUAGGAUAACCCUGUUAUUCCUUUUCUAUACCAGCAUCCAAAAAUUCAUUAUCUUUAUUUGUCCCCUCUUUAUUAAUAUUUUGUUUUUAGGUUUUUUUCCAGUAAUAAUGACUUUCACAGUAUUCCGUACAGAAACUUGGAAAAAAAAACUGCAAGUUGACAUUGCAAGACUUAUGUCUGGCCAUUCUUUGUAAAGAGGAUGCUUGAUUUGUUCUCUUGAUUUGCUCGACCAAUCAAGAUGCUUGUUGGAGUAGAGAGGUCGCCACCAUCGAAGCUGGCUAGGCAAUUAGGGGUGCAACAAACCCUUGAUUUCAAUCUUAGGUUCACACACUACACCACAGCCCCGGAACAACAAUAGGCAGACCGUCGGUAUAGGCCUAAUCAAAGUUCUAAUUGUUUUAAAAAUAAAAACAAAGUUCUAAUUGUUUCAAAAAUAAAAGGACAAUUCUUACACUAUUGGAGUACGCGUUGUAAGAAUGCUUCAUCAUAAAUUAACUUCGUCUUUGCUGCAUCCACUACAGGAGCACAGUAUAUAUUGAUUUUCAGAUACCUGAAAUUAAAGAACAUACCAGGAACUACGCAUUUCCCUAGUAUAUAGUUCACCGGGACCUUCAAAUAAUUUUGGGCCCAAAGGAAUAUUCGUGUUUCAUUCCCAGUAGCGUCUCUGCUUAUUCACUAAGUUGUUUGGCUAAAUUGCUGCGUUAUGAUUUCUAGUAUACUCGCAGUACAAAGAUCAGAUGUUUGAUGGCAUAAGAAACAAGCACAUUGAUAUUUGAUUUAUGGAUUCAUGUUAUUCCGGCAUCCUUUUGCAGUGUUAGUCCAUGGCCUGUGGAAGUAUUUGUUCGGCAGUGUAAUGCCAUAUGAUGAUUGCUCUUUUGUUAUUAAGAGACUUUAAAUGCAAAGUGUGGAUUAUUUGGAGGUGAAUAACCAGUCGAAGUAGAGCACUUGAAGUAAAAUUUGUGGGUUCCAAGGGCUGGACACGUUAUUGUAGGUUGACUUAUCGCUUUAUGUUGAAUUAAUGUUGGGUUUGGUUGGUCUAUGCACAAUAUUGGGUGUGGAUAUAUAUUGUGAAAUGGAGGGAGUAUGGUACUUAUAUAUACUAUAUAUAUAUAUAUAUAUAUAUAUAUAUAUAUAUAUAUAUAUAUAUAUAUAUAUACUACAGCACAUGUCAUUUUGAAGCCAAAUCUACCUCCAACUUUGAUCUUUCAUGCAGUCGUAUGUUAUAUCAAAAAAUGUGAGGCUCAAUAGAUGGGAGAUCAUACAUGCAUAUAGUUGUUCUACUAGAUAAAGUUUGAGCCAAAUAAAACCUAUGUUUAUGACGUAGUGGAGGUGAAGUCAGGAAAUAUUGCCAUCAUCUACGGGACACAGGUGGUAUGCCGAGUGCCAGGGGCACUCGGCGAAACCCAAAAUACUCUCGGCACCAAGUUCGCUGAGUGUUACACUCGGCAUCUGGUACACGGUAAAAUUCCGCCGACAAAGUAAUUUUGCCGAGUGUUUUUUGUUGGGCACUUGGCAAAAGCUUCGCCGAGUGCCCAGAAAACACUCGGCAAACCAUUUUUUUGAAAAAAUAAAAAAAAUGGCACGCCGACACCGUCGGUCGCACCACCAGCACCGUCGCCACCAUCCACACCGCCGCCGACCGCGGCCACUGCCUCCCACGGCCACGCCAUGAACCCCGCCGCUGCCAGCACUGGCUUGCCGCCACCACGCCCUCGCGCUAGCCACCACCACACGCCGCUGCUUUGCUCCAGCCAGGCGCCGCCGGAGCCUCGACCGCGCUGCCGAUGGAGCCCUAGGGGUGGUGUAGGAGGCCGCCGCCACUCCCGGACAGUUCCACGGCGUCUCUCGGUGGGCUCCCCGGACGGCCGAGACGGAGUCCGCCGGAUCCGGGUAGGGGCGCAGCGGAUCCGCCUGAUCCGGGGAGGGACGCCGCCGGUGAUGGAGGCGAGGGGCGGGGAAGGAGAUCCGGUGGAGGGGCACUGCGGGGAAGCAGAUCAGGGGGGGGGGGGGGACGGGGAAGGAGGUAGGCGGUGGCGGUGGCCAAGACGGAGCGGCACCGCCGGGAGGGAGCAGCAGGAGGGAGGUGAGGGGUCAGGAGGGAGGGGCGCUGGGCGUGAGGGGUGCCGCGUGAUGGGCCGCGCUGGUUAUAAAAAAAAAGUUCGUCGAGUGCCGCUGAUUCGGGGCACUCGGCAACCCCUUGUUUGCCGUGUGUCCAAAUAAAAACACUCGGUAACUCCUUCUUUGCGAGUGUUUUUUAUUUAACACUCGGCCAAUCCUUGAUUCGCCGAGUGUUUUUUUUUUGCCGAGUGUUUUUAGCUUGGCACUCGGCAAAGAGCUUGUUUGCCGAGUGUAAAAAAACACUCGGCAAAGAAAAAACACUCGGCAAAUUUGAGGUUUCCCGUAGUACAAUAUGGUCACUACAAACUAACAGUAACUUAAGAAAUAACUUAGCUCUCGAUCUUAUAAAAUGAGAUUACUGCAUCAUCAAUUGGAACACACCAUACAAUUCAUAAUUUAUUGCUGAUCUGAUUUCAUCCACAUUUUUCAUUGUUGGAAAACACCUCUCUAUCGAUGCAGCUGUGGCAAUAGAAAUAAUUAGUAAUUUCUUAAGAAGCUGAAAGACCAAAUGAAAAGUAAUAUGAUGCCUUUUUAUCCACCGUUAGUCUAGCAAAGCUCAGAAAGAAGUUUAACUUGGAAAACUUUUCCUCAUAUAUAUUGCACACUAUGAAUGCAACAUAGAACUCAUCAUAAUAACCAAGAUCCUUAUGUUUGUUGAAUUAAAACCACCGAAUUAUGACUGAGCCUACUCCAUCGUCAAAAAAUUAAUAAGAUCAAUGAUGUAAAUAAGAAAUUAGUUUAUAAUUUAUCUCAUGGAAAUGGCUGCGCACAUGAUAUUCAUCUCUAUUCAAUUUAUGUUCCAGCAAUCUCCAAUCCGACCAUAAAUAAAAAAUGCAUCACAAUGGCCUUUAUUAUUGUAAUAUCUGAACAAGUCGAUACAAACAAAACACUUACCCACCUAUAUUUGUAUUGAUACUGAUGUGGAUGACUCACAUGUGAUCUGGAUACUUAACCUGUUUGCAGUCUUAAUUAGCUUAAGGGAACUCUAGUUAAUUAGGUAUUUUGUCUUAUAUCAAUUAGACAUCUUGUAGGUUUUGUCCAAUGCAGCGCCUAUGCAAUCUGAUAUUCUUUUUCAGAUCCUAAUUAAGGAAGUGCGUCAAAUAAACCUUGUUAUUCCACAAGACCUGCAAAGUAUAUGCCAUCUCUUCUUGGAGUCCCUCCAUCCCGGUCAUCCUAUCACUAUCUAGGGGUAUUUUUCUUUUCAGAAUGGUUCUACCAUGGUUUCACAAGCUGUUAAGCUUUAAGUAUGAUAAGGCACGAUAUGAAAGCUGCAGCCACAAUCAUAAUUUAUAAAAACCACAAGUUCAGUACCAGGCAUUUUUCUGCAAAGAUGAUCAUCAUUCAGGUUCCUGAUGACCGAUUUACUGAUGAAAAGAACAAAAAACCCUAAACAUCCAGACUUGACAUUUGAAUCAAGGGAAAAAACAGAACCUUAAGAUCAAAACCAGUGAUCAAUCAAUGCCGAAACAAGAUACACUGAUAACCGAGGAAUUGGAUUGUGUAAAUUAAAGCUGAUCUUGGGGCUUAGGACCCUAGCUCUGAGGGGGAGAGGGGAGGUAGUUCCUCACUGUGGGGUUGCCUAGAUGGCUAGAUGUGUGUGAGUGCUUAUGAAUAGAGGAAGCGACCAGGAGAAUGAAGCAGGCCAGUUGCAGGCUGCUUUGCUGCCAACUGUACGAGCUAGCAGCUAGGCAGGGUCCAGGCCACCGGGUCAUUACUGGGAAAUGGAGGGGAGUAUAUACACAGGGCUAGCAGACUGUUUUCUUGUGGCUCCACCCCUGCAAGGUAAUAUGUCGAUAAGCUAUACAUAUUAGACACGAUCUUUUGGAUCUUUCUCUCACGUGCAACUAUGCCCUCACUCAAUGGAGAACUCGUACGUGAUGGUAAAGACAACCUUCCCAUGGUGGUUGGCAUGCACUGAUAGUUGGUUUUUACUCAUAACUCUAAGGCCCCGUUUGGAUGCUUUUGAAUUCCAUUCUAACAAUCAUAAUUUAGGCACAAAUUAAUUAAGCUAAUAUAAUUAUAUGUGGAAUAUAUUUGUAUAUUAAUGUUGGCGAUAUGGGAGAGAUACUUAUGUGCUGCACUUCUGCUAUAGAGAAGCGAGUCCAAGAGCGUGCUAUAAGAACUGAAUUCCAUUGUAAUAAUCAUAAUCUAUAGAAUCCCCAUAAAUUUAAGAUAGGCUUAUAUCUAAACUUUGGAAAGUUGUGGAAUGCCACAUUCCAAGAUAAAUUAGCCUACUCCAUUAAGUAGAUUCCAAUUCCUUCAAAAUGAAGGGAUCGGGGCGUAAUGGUAUUUGUUGGUUAGCUCAACUGUAUACAUGUAUACACUCAAGAUGGCAUAGCCUUAACGUUAAUGGUGAGGUUCAAAAGAGGAAAGGCUUGCUUUAUUUAAUACCUACAAUUUUGUCUGUUCAAAGCUAGUGAGGAUAAAAAACAGAUCGGCAUAGAGAAAUAAAUUAAAUUAAAUCAAUCUUUACUACUCUGUCCUCCCAACUAACUCGCUUGUUGUGGUUCCGUAAAUAAUUUAGAAAUGCUUUUCCGCAGGAACUAAUCCACCCCAGGAGAGUCUACAAAGAUUAUGUAGAACAGAUAUCUGUUACUCCUAGUUUCUUUGAAACUCAAUGAAUUUCCAGCAUUCUAACGACUGAAUGGUCAACAAGUGACGGAAAUUACCAAUAAUUUAAUAUUACACAAAAAUAUUUAACUAAAAUUUCAAGUUCGAGAAUAUGAAAGUUUGCCUUCUCAGCUAAUCAAGAUAGAAAAGUUUGGACUAGCCCUAAAAUAUUUCUCAUGGAAUACCUCCUCUUCAAGAAUUUUUGGGUGGACAACAAAUAUGAGCGUAACCUUGCCAUUCCUUUCCUAUACCAGCGAUCCAAAAAUUCAUCAUCUAAUUUUGUACCCUCUUUAUUAAUAGUGUUUUUAGUUUUUUUCUUCCAGUAAUGACUUUCACAGACGGUCAUGUGCUUGUUGCUAUUUUGUUCCGUACAGAUCCUUGGAAAAAAAACUGCAAGUUGACAUUGCAAGACUUAUGUCUGGCAGUGAUGAUGCAUUCUUUGUAACAUAUCUGCUUGACCAAUCAGAAGCUUGUUGGAGUAGAGAAGUUUCCACACCAUCACUAGGUGGCUAGGUAAUUAGGGGUACUACAAACUCUUGUGUACAGAACAGAAUGGAUCAAAUGGUUGAUCCAGGCCGCCUGGUCAGACUGGUUUUUCACCGGGGUUAUUACUGGAAAAUGGUGGGGAGAUAUACAGAGGGCUAGCAGGCUGUAUGCCGUGGCUCCAUCCCUUAAGGUAAUAUAUGUCGAUAAGCUCGAUCGGCAAACUCCCUCAUAAGUAUACAUAAUAGAGAUCUUUGGGUUUUGUUUAAUCAUAUGGGUGGAAGUUCAGUUAUACCCUAUAACAAAUUAUCUGGAUCAUGAAUAUGGUACGACUUUCUACAUUAACACCAACAAUAAUUCGAAUUUCAUGAAUAUCCAUGAAAUUUAAUGAGUCAAAAAUCAAAAUGAAGUAAAAAUAUAGAUAUUAUUGAAUAAUAAAAGGCCAGUUGUGCAUCUCAUCUUGAGUCUGGAGUUUAUGAAAUGAUAGUUGAUACACGAAUGCAUAAGAGCUUGGGGCUUAUUCAAUCAACUGAAGCCCUUAGAAUCACAACAAAAGAUGUGACUUCUGGAUCCACCAAAAAGAAGGGAAACAUUUAGAUCUUACAAGCUAGUUCAUUUCAAGUCUGAAAUUAAACCUCGCAAGAGGCCUAAUACAUCUGGGUAAUGAUAUACUUGUGCUGCUGAAAAAUUGAAACAUCUAAAGCAAAGCUAAACAGAUCGAUCUCGAACCAUUUGGAUAUAACAUUUCUGCAGAUGUCAAUGCAUUACUGUGCACAAGGAUCCUACUUAAAGGUAACACUCGUUGCUGCUCUCCGCGGACUCAGCAUCGCAGCGAGGAGCACUAAAACACUCAAGAUCGAGGCUUGUCUCCCAACGAUCUCUUCGGGCUCGGCGACGGCGGUGCCGGCGACGUCUCGCCCAGCCGUUGGAAGUCACCUCCGGCAGCUCCAUGGUGGGAGGAACCUGGACAACUCGAACGUUGCACCUAGCGAAGUAGGUCGGCUCCCCGCCGUUGAUAGAGAUGCGGAGAGAGGUGCCGGUGGGGUAGUUCCCGUAGAGGGACACCGUACCAGUGACCCACGCACCGUCCAGGAGGCGCACCUCGACGAGUUCACCAGGCAUGGGCGAGACCCAGCCACGUCCAGCCGGAGAAGAAGACCCAGUGGUCCGGGGAGGGCGAGUCCCAGAGAUCCGAACCCUAAUAGCCAUCGCGUGAGAACGUGAUGCCUGCUGAUAGCUCUCUCUUAACUCUUUCUGGCUGGCGGUGCGGGUGAUCUGGGACGAGGCAGACUUAUAGCGUGGGGAAUAGUUGGAGGCAAUUAAUGCAUUCCAGUGAUUAGCAGACUGGAUGAUCACGAAUCGUGAAACGUUUUGGCAGCUCAUAAUGUUAAGGAUUUUACUAUUUCCAGCAUUUUCCUGGCGAAAUAAUAUAAAGGAAUAUGCCUGUAGCAAUUAAGACUGGAUACCGCCAAUUGUUUCAUAUACAAAUAGUUUUCACAUUUUGUACCACCGUUUGGACCGUAUUGAACUUUCGAAAAAAAUGUUAAAUGAGGAAAAAUACAAACAAGAUUCUAGAGUUGAAAUGCUAGCUAGAAGCUGCAUAUUUUAUAUUUUAGGGACUACUAAAGAAAUAAAAAGGUGAGGACGAAAAAUCAAGCAAUGUGAAUAGCUUAUUCACAGUACUGAUGAAUUGCCUAUUUAAUGCACAUUUUGCAUGGAUACACCAUAUUUACUCCCAACCACUCCAUUAGUUGAGCCUAAAAGCUAUGGAUUAAUAUAUAUAUAUAUAUAUAUAUAUGCUUCAAUUGAAUUACCUGGCCCGACAAGCAUGAUUUCAGGUGGUGAAGAAUUCCCAAUUAUAGAGAAUAUGGAGAGGAAAAACUGGUAGAUCUUUUAAUAGAAAAAUGGAAUAGCAAAAGCUUUGACAACUCGAUGGCUCAAACCACACCACCAAAUUUUAGAGCUCCAGUUGUACUAGUGUAAAAAUAUACAGAAAGGAAAUAUAUUUAAAAGUGUAAAAAUACAUGAAUAGUCGUUGUACUAGUGCUGUUGCCACUGAUGGGCAAUUCUGCUAGUUAAGUUGAAGGUCCGGUGGGCCGGAAAACCGCCAAUAUACAUCUUUUAGCUUCAGAAGACAUUAUUACUUGUUUCUACCUUUGACUAUCUAUUUUAGAACUUCAUUAUAUUCGAACUACUUUUAUUGAAUUACCUUGCUUGAGGUGCUACGAACUUAAAACGUGGUGAACUGCAAGCCUUUAACAGUGUUCUUCCAUAGAUAAAACUCAGUUGCCCCAUCUCAUUGUAUGUGUAUCCUUGAGUAUCUUUGAAUGCUUUUUAGCUACUGUGUGCUUGAGUUUCAUUUCGUGCGCAUCCAUUUCCUUCCUUAUCUUACCUUGAUGGUAUAUAUGGAGCAGAUCACCUGCUUAAGUGUACAUAACAUAUGUAGAUCUAUGGACCCCUGCAGUUCAGUAGUUCGGCUCAAGUUGAGUUCUCUUUUCCUGCCACUCUCUUAUAUAUGCUGCUUUAGUUAUCUAAUGCAAAUGAUAAUAAUGAUCGAUAAAUAAAUAUUCUGCGCACUUCAAUAUCCUUCUACCUUAUAUAUUGACUGCAAAUAAAACGCUCCUGGAUAAGCCACAUUAUCAUGAAAAUAAUCAACAUCUGAUCCUUUCAUAACAAGAUCUGAGCCACAGCCAUUGAUGCAUAACUACCCACUCUAGGAACCCCUAAAAAGGCCAAGACUACACCUGCAUGUUUGUUUGCCACUCUGCAUGAAGAGAAACAAAUGGAGAAAGAGGAAGCACCAUAUUGGAGGAAAGAAAUUAAAAGAUGUACCACCGAAGCAUCAAGGGCUUAUUAAACGUUUGUUUGUCAAACGUCAAACCCCUAGAGGAAGAAAGAAGGUUGUGCAGAGAGGGUAGAUCAUCAUGAGGCCACUGCAGAGUGUUGUGCAGUCCCGCCUGUCGCCGGCUUCCCAUGCUGCUCAGCACUUCAUCUGGAUAUGCACUUCAGCAUUAAUUCACCCUGCUAAUGCCUUUCCGCUUCUGUCACCUGCGGUUGUUCCUUUCCAACCGAUCAUACCACCUAUAUCAUUAGCCCUAGGCUCUGAAUGAAACGUAAAACUCACUAGUGAACACAUCAGAUAUAUCAUUGAAUAGAUUUGCUACGGUCAUAAUAACAGACCAUGAUCUAGGCAUCUGAUACCGUACCCUUUGGUUCUCUCCUUGGAAUCCACAUAAUUAUCAAAAAGACCAGGACUUGGCAAGUGGUCAUCAAGAUGACAUGCACAAGAAUUUGAUCCCCACUAUCAUCCACAGCUUCAUCCUCCUCUUCUUGAACAGAUGGCUGUUGGAUCCAACAGUGAAGUGAAUCAUCACUGCCUAUUCCUUCUUCUGAGUGACAGGUGUAUCUGUCCCUCUAUUGUCAUUGCACUACUGGAAGGAGUUAUCAAGGCAUGGAUUUCAUCCACAGCUUCAUCGAUCCUCCUCUUCAUGAAGGCAUGGACUUCACUGUGUGGAGCCCAACACGGUGGGAUUCACCCAUAGGGGAUGCCUGGUCCAUGGAUGCACAGUUAUGGCAGGUCAGUGGGUAUCACCCUUAAGUCUUGACUGUGUGGUUACGGCCUUAGGGGCCGGCAGCUCAAUUGAAGGUUUUCAAUCUUGACACCUUGAGGCACGGCAUAUCUUAUUUCUUGAUCCCUUCCCUCUCUCUCCCUCACGAGAAAUGUCUUUUACAAAUUACAAUGUACUUGCUAGGCAUGACAAAUUGACAGCUCGUUUGCAUGAUGACUCCACUGCCAAUUGUAUCAUAUGUGUAGACAGUUAGCAGUUUUGUCAUUUAGAGCAAGUGCAGUUAAUAUACAUUAAAUCGGUGGAGUCAGUUUCAUGAAAAUAUUACACUUUUGUUAUAGAAAUCAAAGCGCAGUGUAUGUAUGGAAGAUGGAGGAUUUUGGGCAUUCAGAUGAGGGAUCAAAUUCUUAUUUCCAAAACUCUAUCAACAAACUGAAGUUAUUAGUAAGCUUUUCGCAGUACGCUUUAGAAUACUGACUGGACAAAGCUGAGCACCACUAUAGGCCAGUUCGAUAAAUAAUGCGCUACAUAAUUAUGAGCGACGAGAGUAAGAUUAAUUCAGAACUAUACGAAAUUUCAAAUCUGUGGAAUAUGAAACACAAUGAUUAUUGUAAAUUAAAGAAGAUUAGGCAAAGAAAUAAUGUGCUACUGGACAGAUAGUAUCAUUAUUUUUACAUCUGUGUUCUGAUCUAUUUAUUGGAAGAUAGUAUUUUAGAUAAACUUAAUACUUAUAUUAGUUCAGAUAUAUAUUAGUUUUUUGUCUGUGCCAUUGUUGUGCAUUUUCAACACAAAAGAUUCACAAAAGGUCAUACAGUACAACAGUUCCACAUCCAUUCUUCUCAAGAAUCAGGCAAAAAACACCAUAUAGACCAUGAAAUGCAAUCCAAAAGGACAACGGAUGAUUGUUUUACAAUACCCUUACAACUGAUACCACAUACUGGAGUAUUUGAAGAUAACAUGGGACUAUCCUUAUUGUCGGAAAAAACUGAAGGAAACUUAAGUGAAAGAGUGCAUAAAAAGUACAUAACCCUGGUAACAAACCACGACUGAAACUAUUUAUUGAUCGAUUUCCUGCUACUAUAGCAACAAUAGCAUGCCGAUCUUUGCUCCUAGGAACGUCUUUUAGCGCACUUCUUAGAGUCCACUUCAUCUUCGUCAGAUGUCUCAGAUUCAGAUAACUUUACCUUGCGGCAACGCAAAGAUGCAAAGCGCCUGACUGCAACUCCUACUCUCUUGAAAAGCAUCAUCAUCUUCCUUGUCUUCUUGAAUCCCUGGUGGUUGGAGCCCCCAGACUCAACAUCACUCCUAGUGGCUUCUUCCGGGUGAGGGGUGGAAACUCUACCUUGGAGCCCAAUAUGACGAGCGUCACCAAGAGCAACUUGUGUCUGGACCAUGGCUGCAGCCGUGGUGGCUGCUGCAGUAAUAUUGGGGGCUGGUUCAAUGGCUGUAGAUUCACCAGCCCUGAUACCUUCAGGCGUGGACAUGGUGUGCCCUACUCCUACCUCUUCCCUCAAGCACAACUAUGCCCUCACUCAGUGGAGAACUCGUGUUUAUAAAGACAAAGUUACCUGGGGUUUGCUUCACUGAUAGCUGGUUUCUACUCAUAACUCUACUGGCAUUUGUUGGUUAGCUCAACUGUAUACAGGUAACAAAGCAAGUGCAGACAAAAAAAACUGAUGGGCAUGGAGAAAUGUAUCUGAUCCAUCUUUACUGCCUCUUCCACUCAUCCCUCUUGUUGUGGUUCUAUAAAUAAUGCAGAAAUAGUUUUUCCGUUUUUCGUGGCAACCAAUACACGAGAGGAUAUUUACAAAGAUUAUAUAGAACAGAUAUAUCUUAUCCCUAGUUUCUUUGAAAUUCAAUAAAUCUCCAGAAAUCUGACAACAAAAAUGGUCAACAUGUGAUCUGGAAUUUACUUGUAGUGAUCAUAAUUGAAUCUAUCACUUUUAAUAAUUUAAUUUUACUGAAAUAUGUUUAAUUAAAAUUUCCAUGUUCUAGAAUAUGAAAAAUGUUUAAUUAAAAUUUCGAAGUUCUAGAAUACGAAAUCAAAAUAGAAUAGGUUGGACUAGCCCUAAAAUACCUCUAAGAGAAUACCUCAUAAAGUAAUUUUUGGGAUCAACAAAUAUGAGCAUAACCUUAUUAAAAUUCAUUAUCUUAUUUCGUGCUCUCUAUCAAUAUUAACUUUUCUGUUUCAGUAAUGCAUGACUUCACGUAUGGUGAUGUUCUUGUUGCUCCUUUAUUCCAUUCAGACCCUUGGGGGAAAAACUGCAGGUUGAUUUUACAAGACUUAUGUCUGGUCAAAGAUGAGUAGAUGAAUGGUAAUUCGGGGUUGCCACAUUCUUUGUAACAAAUCUGCUCGACCAGAGAGGUUGCCACCAACUAUCAGCUGGCUAGGCAAUUAGGGGUGCACAAACCCUUUAGUCCAACCUUACGUUCCCACUAUAAAUGGUGUGAUUAUGAAAUCGAAGUCCUAAUCAUUUGAAAAAUUAAAGGAGCUUGCUUACACUAUGGAGUACGUGUUGUCAGAAUGCUUCAUUAUAAACUAAUUUCAUUGCUGACCACUACGUCCACUACAGGAGUACAAUACAUAUAUUGAUUUUCAGAUACCUCAAAGAACAUACAAGGAACUUCGCAUUUCCAUAUUAUAUAGUUUACCCAAACCUUCGAAAAAUUUUGGUCCCAUAGGGAUAUUUUCCAGUAGUGUCUCUGAUUCACAAAGAUGUUUGGCUAAAUUUCUGGAUUACUAGCUAUUUGUAUUGUACUCUAGUGUGAGUAAGCAUUGCCUCCUUACUUGUUCUUUGCCUAUCAACAACAAAGAUCAAAUGUUUCCUGGGGCAUGCAUGAAAAACACAUUGAUAUUUGUUUUCUAGAUUCAUAUUAUUGUGGGAGUUGACAUACUGAAAGUAAUAGGAGUGUGUGGAACUAGUAGAUUGAUUAGGGAUAUGGGAAUACAAUACAUAUAUAUAGGCGCCUGCAUAGGGGCAGGCGCCUAACCCUAAUCACCUAGGGCCGGCGCCCAGAGAUGGACCGGCCUGGGCCUGCUAUACAUGACCCACUCACGCAAUAAACACAGCACAUACAUGUUACAAUCUAACACCCCCCCCCCCCCCCCGCAGUCUGAGCGUCGGUAGCCUGGACGUUCAGACUGGACCGGAACUCCGUGAAGACCGAAGAAGGUAGGCCCUUGGUGAAGAUGUCGGCGUACUGAGAUGUCGUCGGAACAUGCAAGACGCGGACUUCACCUGUGGCGACGCGCUCCUGGACGAAGUGGAGAUCAAUCUCCACAUGUUUGGUGCGCUGGUGCUGAACAGGGUUGGAGGACAUGUACAUAGUGCUGAUGUUAUCACAGUAAACUAGAGCUGUGCAGCGCAAAGGGACACUGAGCUCAUGGAGAAGCUGGCGCAACCAGGUGACCUCAGCGACGGCGUUGGCAACGGCACGGUAUUCUACCUCGGCACUGGAACGGGAUACUGCAUUCUGACGCUUGGAAGACCAGGACACCAAGUUGUCGCCCAAGAAGACCGUAUAACUUGAUGUGGAUUUGCGGGUGUCCGAACAGCCCGCCCAGUCCGCAUCAGAGUACACCACGAGCUCGGUCUGCACAGACGGGCGCAGCAGGAGGCCCAAGUGAAGCAUGCCGCGUACAUAGCGCAGAAUACGCUUCAGGGCUGCGAGAUGUGAAUCGCGCGGCGCGUGGAUGUGGAGACAAACCUGCUGGACAGCAUAGGAGAUAUCCGGGCGGGUGAAUGUCAGGUACUGAAGGGCACCGGCCAAACUCCUGUAGUCCGAUGCAGCUGCAGCCAAGAGUAGGUUGCCUUCACUGUCGGAUAGCUUGGGGUUGGUGUCAACCGACGUCUGACAAGUGUCAACCGACGUCUGACAAGACUUGCAAUCGGUCAUACCUGCAUGAUCCAAUAUCUCCACCAUGAACUGACGCUGGGAGAGUAGCAGACCCUUACCAGAGCGCUGAACAUGCAUCCCAAGGAAGUGGUGUAGCUUGCUGAGGUCCUUCAUCGAAAACUCCUGGCGCAAGUCCUGAAUGAUACGGGCCAGGAGGGGUGACGAGGAGGCUGUCAGAACAAUAUCAUCCACAUAGAGGAGGAGGUAGGCAGUGUCAUGGCCACGGUGAAAUACGAAGAGGGAGGUGUCCGUACGGGCCUCGACAAAUCUGAGCUGCUGCAAAUAUGUGGAGAAGCGGCUGUACCAUGCCCGAGGCGCCUGCUUGAGGCCGUAGAGAGAGCGGUUUAGCUUGCAUACAUACCCCAGUGCGGACGGUGGCGGGUUUCACAACCGGGCUGAAAGUCUCGGAGAAGUCAACCCCAGGGCGCUGUGUGAAGCCGCGAAGGACCCAGCGUGCUUUGUAACGCUCCAGAGAGCCGUCAGCAUGGAACUUGUGCUUGAAAAUCCACUUUCCGGUCACAAUGUUGCUGCCUGAGGGCCGAGGAACGAGGUCCCAAGUGUUGUUGGAGAGGAGAGCGUCGAAUUCUUCCUGCAUCGCCUGGCGCCAAUUAGGAUCAGCAAGGGCCCCAUGGUAGGACCGAGGCACCGGAGAGAGAGACGACGAGUGGAACAAGGUGGGCUGCCGAAAGCCCAUCUUGCCACGGGUCAUCAUGGAGUGUGUGUUGAUGACGGGGCGAAUCGGGACGGCGCCCAGAGGCAGAGAGGCCGCAGGUGGCUGCUGUGGUGACGAUGGUGGUGGAGGCCGGUGCCGACGGGAAUAGACCAGCAAUGGUCUAGAGGCGUCGACCGACUCCUGAGGUGCCGAGGCGGUAGCAGAUGGCCCGGCUAGGGGCGCAACGGGCUCGGGCGAGGUGCUGCCCAACCGGGUGACAGGGGCUGCAGCGCCCAGCUGGUGGCCGGGAGACGUCGUCAGGGCUGGUCGGUCGCCGAAGGGUGCUGCAGGGGCAACCGACCAGGUGCUAGACGGUGGCAGAGGGGCGCCUAGGGCGUCCGGAGGUGAGCCGGAGGCACCGUUGGCGCCUGGGGACGGUGCUGGUGGCGCCGAGGGAGCACCUGGUGGUGCUGGAACACUGGCCGCAUGUGGCAGUGUGGCGACGUCGAUGCCAAUGGAGGGACCUGCAGGAAGCAAAGGAGGCGCCAUGCUGUAUGGAACCACCUCGGGGAGCUCCAAAAAAUUAAACUCAUUAGUGUAGACUGGUGAGGACUGCUGGAAGGGGAAUUGCGUUUCGUCAAACACCACGUGAUGAGAGAUUAUCACGCGGUUGGUGGAACGAUCAAGGCAGCGGUAUCCCUUAUGAUGAGCAGAGUAACCAAGGAAAUCACAGAGAGUGGAGCGAGGAGCUAGCUUGUGUGGCGCCAUGGCAGAGAGGUUCGGAUAGCAGGUGGAACCAAAAACCCGUAGGUGACCGUAGUCGGGUGGAGUGCCGAAGAGGGCCUGGUGCAGUGUGGAACCCUGUAGGGUUUUGGUCGACAGGAGAUUAAGAAUAUGGGUGGCGGUGUGUAGGCCCUCCGCCCAAUAUGCUGGUGGCAUGCUGGCUUGGAAGAGGAGGGAGUGAACAACAUUGUUGAUGCUCCGGAUCAUGCGCUCGGCACGACCGUUCUGUGGCGAGGUGUGGGGGCAGGACAUCCGGAGGUGCAUCCCCUUGGAGAGGAAGAAGGUGCGGGAGCUGGAGUUAUCGAACUCGUGGCCGUUGUCGCACUGCAUGGCUUUCACUGUGGCGCCAAACUGAGUAUGCACAAGCGAGAAGAAGUUGGUGAGAGUCGCAAAAGUGUCAGACUUAAGACGCAGAGGAAAAGUCCACAAAUAAUGCGAGCAAUCAUCAAGCACCACCAGAUAGUAUUUGUAGCCAGAAAUACUAGGAACAGGAGACGUCCAUAGGUCACAGUGGAGUAAAUCAAAUUUGUGAAGAGCACGAGAUGACGAUGUUUGAAAUGGAAGGCGCACAUGACAGCCGAGCUGACAAGCAUGACAAGUAGUAUUGGCAGCUUUAUUACAAAAGGGAAUAGCAGAAGCAACUCUAGAUAGAACAUCAGAGCCGGGGUGCCCCAGGCGACGAUACCACACGUCGGAGGAGGAGGUGGCUGCCAAGGCGUGAGCGGCGGGGAAUCGAAGCGGGUAGAGGGGACCGGAGCUAUUGCACCUGACGAUCACUCUCUGGGAUGACAGAUCCUUCACAGAACAGCCAGCGGGAUCAAAUUCGAUGGAACAAUUAUUGUCAGAAGUAAACUGGCGAACAGAGACCAAGUUUUUAAUAAGUUUAGGAGAAACUAAAACAUUAUUAAGAGACAAUAAUCCUGGAAAACAAGCGGAACUAGUGGCUGUGACAGGGAUUAAGGAACCAUCACCGACAAUAAUGGAGGAGGGAGAGGGAUACCGCGAAGGGGAAAAGUGGGAGAGGGUACCAGGGUCGGAUGUCAUGUGGGAGGAAGCACCGGAGUCGAGGUACCAGUUAGUCACCUGUGGUUGGUUGAGCGUCAUUGUGCUGAACGUAGAGGCGAGAGACUGCUGGUCCCAGGAGGAGGGCAAGACCGAAGGUGCGCCGUAGAACCCGGGCGGCGCCUGCUGCUGCUGCGCCGGGGAAACUUGGGCGGCCCAGGUCUGCUGCUGAGCAAGCCACGCCUGUUGCUGUUGGGCGAGGGCGGCCCACUGGUGAUGGGCGAGGUAGGCCUGGGGUAGAGGUGGGCCGCCUUGGGGAGGCGGGGUGGGGCGCAACGGUCCAGACCGCAAGGUCCCAGGACCGGGAUACAUCUGAAUUGUCCCAGUCCAUGGGUUCCAAAAUGACGGCCACGAGCUAGGGGGGCGUCGCCUGCACCAGGGGGACCAGGGGUUUUGACGCCCUUGCUGGAGCCGGCGCCUUUGCCUUGGCAACCCUUGCCGGAGCAGCCUUGGCCGCCGCGUUGGUGACGAUCGCGGCCGCCUCGGCUCCCCCCGCCCCCGUUGCCGGCACGAGUGGUGUUGGGGGGCGUGGGAGGCCGGGGCUGAGAAGGGCCAGCAGUGGGCCCGAGAAGGGCCUGCGGUGGCUCGGACGGCGAGGACGGCAUGGUCAUCUCCUCUAGAAGGAGGUCAUCGCGAGCCUCCAGGAAGGAGCGCAGGGGGCGGCUGCGACGGAUGUCGUGACCGACAGCGUGGAACUGGUCGUUGAGGCCGCCGACGAGGGUGAGGACGAGGAGCUUGUCGUCAACAGGUGCCCCGAGAUCGCUGAGGCCGUCGGCCAUACCCUUCAGGCGCUUGCAGUACUCCGUGAUGCUGAGGUCACCUUGCUUGAAGUUGCGGAACUUGGCGUCGAGGAUGAUGAUGCGCGUCUCCUUGUUGCCAAGGAACUGCGCCUCGAUGGCGAGCCAAGUGGUGCGGGCCGUGGCCCCGCGGUCGCCGCGGGCCAUGACGAUGUCGGCGAGGUCCGUGGCGAUGCUGCCGUAGAGCCACGAAUGCACGACGCAGUCCAUGCGGAGGCAAUUUGCGUAGGGAACAGAUGGAGGGUCGCGGAGGACGUGAUCCUGCAGCGAGUACUUGCCGACAGCGAGAAGGAACUGUUCACGCCAAUGGGAGUAGUUGCCAUCGGAGUCGAGGACGAUGAGGACGAGGCUGCGAACAUUCUGGACAGCGGUAGCCUGGGCAUUGAGCUGAAGAAGGGCGGCGGCUUCAUGCAUUAGUAGGGCGUGGCGGGCAUCCAAGUUGUCGUCGGCGUCAUCGUGGACGACUGAGUCGUCGUCGGAAGCCGGGUUGGCCUCCUGGCGGGCCGCGGCGGCGAGCGCCAGGGCGUCGCGGAUGCGAGCCUCGGCGUCGUCGUGGUCCCGGGCGGCAGUGGCGGCCGCGGCCUCGGCGGCUGCGGCGCGGGCCAGGGUGGCGUUGCGCGUGGCCUGACGCUGGGCGCGAGCGGCGUCCAGGCGUGCGGCGUCGGCAGCGGCCUCCUGGGGCGCGGCAUCGGCGGCGGCCACGGCAGCGGCGAGAGAGGCGGGCAAGGAGCCGGCCAUGGAUCGCGCGGAGGCGUGGGGCGCGGGGAGCGCGCAGGGGAGGCGCGGCGCGCGGAGGCGCGGGAUCGCGCAGGCAGCGCCUGAGAGGCGCGCUAGAAAGUGGAAGAAAAGGAAUCGGGGGUGACCUGGACUCGUGAUACCAUGAAAGUACUAGGAGUGCGUGGAACUAGCAGAUUGAUUAGGGAUACGGGGAUACAGUACAUAUAUAUGCAGGCGCCUAACCCUAAUCACCUAGGGCCGGCGCCCAGAGAUGGACCGGCCUGGGCCUGCUAUACAUGGCCCACUCACGCAAUAAACACAGCAUAUACAUGUUACAAUCUAACACAUGCUCCCUCCGUUUGCAAUGUGAGUUACUGGCCUUGGAACUAUUUGUUUGACAGUGUAAGUCCACAUGAUGAUUGCACUUUUUCUAUUAAGAGACUUCAAAUGCAAACUGGAUUUUGGAGGUGAAUAAUCAGUCCAAGUAUGGCACUUGAUAAAAUUUGCGUGUUUCCAGAGCUGGACACCGAAUUAUGGGUUGACUUAUUCCUUAUGUGUUGAAUUGAUAGUGUUGGGUUUUGUUGGUCUACGCACAAUAUAGGGUGUGGACACACAUUGUGCAAUGGAGGGAGUAUGGUACUAGAGAACCAUACAUCAUGACAUUUUAAAGCCGAAAUUACCUGCCAAGUUUGAGGCUCAAUAAUGGGAGAUUAUGAAUGCAUAUAGUUGUACUAAAUUAAGUUUGAGCCCAAGUGUAUAUGUACAAAGGUAGCUGAUGCAAAGCCUGGAAAUUAUUAAUUGUUGUCAUGGUCACUACAAAAUAACAGUGACUCAGGACAGUAGUUACCUCUUAUGGUUAUGGUCCUCGAUCUUAUGAAACAAUACUGCUACAUCACCGAUUGGAACUGUAGCUAAACAUUCUUGUUCAGUGAACCGCACCAUAAAAUUCAUAAAUUGUUACUGAUAUGAUUUUGCAAACAAUUUCCAUUGUUGGAAAACACCUCUAUACCGAUGCAGUGGCAGUAGAAAGAACUACUAAUCGCUUGAGCCAGUGUACCAAAUGAAAAGUAAUAAGAUGCCUUUCGCUACUAGAAUCCACGAUGUUGAUGUUCCCUACAGCUAACAUUACUAGGGAACAGCCAAAAAAUUGUAGGGAAACAGUUUCCGUAGAGUUUUUACUAGGGAAAGACUUGUAGGGAAAAUAUUGUCACGAAACAAGGUGUGCCCUACGAUUUUUUCUGAAAGUUGUAGGGAAAGAAUGGUUCCCUACGAAUCACAACGGUAGGGAACUUUGCUACAUGGCACAUGGAAACUUUACUUUCCCUACGGUUUCGCAAUCCUAGGGACAAAUUGAAUUAACUUUUGUUUUCAUAGUUACUACUGUGCAAAAUAAUUAUUGCUCUUAAAAUCAAGCAUUCACACAUUGGACAUUAGUUUCAUCCACAUGAGCAGACAACACUUUUAUUAAGAUAUGAACAUUCAUGAGUACAUACAAAUUCUAGCUACAAGAAAAAUGAUCAAAAAUACAUUUGUCUCCCCGCUUGCCCAUUAAUUCGGUAUUCUUCUCUUAAAUCCAUAGAACAAAUCCCAACAAUUUAUGUCCUCACACGAGUAUAAUCCAUCCAAUGCAAGAACCUAAAACUCUCUACAGCUACUUGCUUGUACUUCUUGAAUCUUGAUGACUCUUUGUUCUUCAGUUCCGGAUCUACAGAGGAUUCAAUUAUUGAAGAAACCAAUAUCCAUCUCAAAAAGUAGCAAACAUCACACAUGUGAAUCUAAUCAAGAAGUCACUCAACCUGUAUCAUGAUGGAAGACAUGCUAGCAUCGGUGAAAGUUGAGGAAGAAGGCAAGGCAGCCAUUCUGCAGAAAUAAUGUUCAUAUUUGGCAAACUUUCAAUCAUCUUGCACAUUAUGAAUGGAAACAUAGACCUCUAACCAAGAUCCUUCGGUUGGGUUGAAUAAAAAGAUCAUUGAAAUAUGACUCAACCAACUCCAUCGAACAAUAAAUAAAAUCAGUGAUCUAGAUAAGAAAUUAGGUUAUAAUUUAUCUCAUGGAAAUGGCGGCUCACAUGAUCUUCAACUCUAUUCAAUUUAUGCUCCAGCCAUCUCCGACCAACAAUUGAAAAUGCAUCACCGUGGCCUUGAUUAUUGCAAUCUCUGGUAGAGAUAGAAACAAAAACAGUUACCCACCUAUGGAUGACUCACUAUGAUCUGGAUAUUUUUUAACCAGGCAGUAGCCUCAAAGGAAUUCUUGUUAGAUACUUUUGUCUUAUCUCAAUUAGUCAUCUUGUAGCUUUUGCCUGUGCAGCCUGCGUGCAAUCUGAUAUUCUUUUUUUCAGAUCUUAAGGAAUUUUGUCAAAGUAACCUUAUUAUUUCACGAGACCUGCAAACAAUAAAGAGAAGUACAUGCAUGGUAUAACUUCUUGGAGUGUCCCUCCAUCACGGUCAACACUAUCACCAGCUAAGGAAAUGUUACCGAGUCAUGGACUUCACUCCAGAGUCCAACAUGACAAGCUCCACCUAGAGAAGCUGCCUUAUCUGUGCACCCUGGUUGUGAUCUGUUGGAUGAUACCUUCAAAUCUGUCGACAGAUUAGGGUGUGAUUGAUUGGCCCAUCUUGAUACUCGUCACUACUGGAGAACUCAUUGUUCAUCCAGCACAAAUAUACCACCUAGGGUGAUUGUUAGACCCGAUACUAAUGCGAUCAUCCCAGGCAGGGAUAUAAUACUAGCCUAUUUAUAUCGGUUGGUGUUACCAACUGAUCCUAAUGUCAUUUAUGCACAUUAGUACCGGUUGGUAACACCAACCAGUAUUAUAGGCAAGUAAUAGUACCAGUUGGUGUUACCGAUUGGUGCAAAUUAGCCUGCUAUAAUGCAGUUUCCUUUCUCUUCAAGCCUGAACCAUGAACAGAGGCGAGCUCUUAUUGUUGAUGGCGAUACGGGCCUAGGGGGAGGUGCUGCCAAAUGUUUUCACGAUUUUAUGGAGAUUUGACUUGUACAAGUGUUCCAAAGGUUAGUAACUUAAUCCUCCCAUCUUUUGUGUAUAGGUUAGUACAUUUCUUGCUUUAGAAAUGGAGAAAUUCGUGAUGUUUUGAAUUGGAGAGGAUUUUAGCUAGGUAUAUUCUAAUUCAUCUAUACAUCCAUUGGAGCUCUAAUCUUGUGGUGGUUAGACAACUCAAUAAAUGGGGAGAAACUAAGGAUGGUGUGUUUUGUAUCAGCAACAUGAUGCCUCACUACUACUUCCAUAGCAUAAGCUUUCAUUGACAUAUCUCCUAAACCUAUGCUUUUCAUUUGUAUACACUGGUUAACUUAUCACGACAUGCUCUGGUCAUUUGUAUACACUGGUUAACUUAUCACGACAUGCUCUGGAUGUAACUGAAUGAAAAUGUUGCUGUUAGUGUAAUAUUAUUGUUCACCUAUGAUAAUUAUCAUGCUAUAGUUGUACAAAACUUUGCGAUUUGACCCUUGUAUAUUGAUUCUUGUCUCUCUCUCUCUCAUAGUACAGCCGAGUGACACAGAAGGAUCUCGUGCACUUGAAGAUCAUCUUCAUGUCAUGAAGUGUAACCAAUAUACUCGUGCACUUGAAGAUCAUCUGCAUGUCAUGAAGUGUAACCAAUAUAGUUGUGAAAAAGCUUGUACCAAAUAUUUCCCAUCUGCAUAAAUUUAAUGUGUUGUAUAUAUUCCUAUACCAUCACCUCAAUGAACCAUGAUGGGGCUUCAUUGUAGGAUUUGAAAGCGCAUAAAAAAUUAAAUAUUUACAGCCGUUAACUGGAGUUCUCCAUAAUACUUUGGUUCACUAGUAAUAUAUUUAUUGAAGGUAAUUUCUUGACAUUAGCAGGGAGGAAAGUAUCUUGCUAGGGAAAAAUGUCGAGAAACAACAUUGGAAAGCACUAGGGUCCUAGGAAUGGAUCCUCGCACUUAAGAAAUUGAACAUGAAGUUCAUAGUAUAAUAGUUUUGCAAAGAAUUGCAUAUGAGCUACCAAAAACCUUCACUAAUACUAAAGAGAUUAUGAACAUUUAUGAAUCUACAAUAAACGCAACAUAAAGAAUCGAAAUACUACAAGAAGUUGAUGAAUUGGAAUUCCAAGUAAAAUCUACACUGACUCAUACCCUAAAGAUGCGGAGACAAAGUAGAAAUGCAAAAAUAGAGAAUGGUGUAUCUACUCAGACAAUAGCUUUAGGGACACGUCCUUAAAGGAUUAAGAUAGCGCAAAAUGAAAAUAAGAAUUAAAGUGAAGGUACACUUAUAGUGAAACAUCCUAAAGAUGGAAAACCCAGUGAGAAUAUGUGCAGAGAAAAUGCUCACACUGAGAAACUGAAAAUUCUUGAUUUAAAUAUAACAAUCGAUCAGGAUGAAUGUGAAAGAAUAAUGGAAAAUUCAACAAAUUAUUUUGAAACAAGAAAUAUAUAUGAUAGAAAAACUACUAAAGUUGAUACGUAUUUUGCCGAGAAGAUUAGAAAACUUGAUCUAGAUCCCGAUCCAAAAUCAUUGGCAAAAUACAUGAAGCAUUAUGAUUGGCCUAAGUAGCAGUUCAUUUGGAUUGAAUCCCUAAGGGAUAUUCCCUAAAUGACAUAAAUGGGUUUUUCGUUCAAAAGGUAAACGAAAAUAACCAGGUGAAAAGGAAUAAAGCAAGACUAAUAACUCAAGGGUUUACAUAGAGACCCGGCAUCAAUUUUGAUGAAACUUAUUUUCCUAUAAUGGAUGGAAUCACAUUCUGAUACUUGAUAUCUAUGGCAGCAUGUAUGAACUUGCUAAUGAAAUUAAUAGAUGUUGUGAAAGCAUAUUUAUGUGGAUCACUAGUUGCAAAUAUUUAUAUGAAACUCCCUGAUGGAAUUAUUGUCCUAAACCAAAAAAAUGUAACAUAUAUAGUGUGAAACUACAAAGAUCACUUUAUGUCUUAAAACAAUCUAGAAGUAUAUGGCAUAAUUGUCUUAACGAUUUUCUUGAAGAAAAAUGGAUUUUCUUGAAGAAAAAUGGAUUUCUGAAGAAUGAAAUUUGUCCUUACGUGUUCAUAUUGAAAUCUAAGAAUGUUUUCUCAUAGAGUAAAAUGCGUCCAAGAUCUAUCAACUUGUAUCGGGGUGUCACUUAGGUACACGAACUUUGAAAGUGCAUGCUAGGUAAAUAAACUUUUUAUGUUUUUUCACAUAGGUCCAAAUCCCUCCACAUGGCACAUUAUGUUGACUUGGCACGCUGACUGGACAUCUCCUCUCCUAUCCCGUUGUCUCUAGCUGGGGCAUUUCAUCGAGCAUGUUGAGCGCGCGACUCCUCCACAGGCUCAUGCCAGUGGAGAAAACCGUACAACAGCAUGUAGAGCAUGACAUCGCAAGACCAGAUGUAUCCAUGGUUGCUGAGCAUCGUCUCGGGCGCGAAGUAGGCUGGGUUGUGAGUUGCUGCACUACAUGUGAAGCAGGUCAUCAUGCUGCAGUUCCUCAUGCAGCACAGCUAUUGGCGGAUGUUAGCGCGCCAGUUUGUGAACCACAAGCGCACAGAUCGGUUGUAGCUCUUCUGUCAGAGUAUUCCCCAAGGUUUAUCAAUCCGUGAAACUUAUAACACAAGAUCUAUUUCAACUAGCAUUGUCAGUAUGAACCUUUUAUUGAUGAAUAGGUCAGAUGAAAUCUAGCAUACACAAACAAAUAAUAGAUAUGAGCAAGAGGUAACCCAUCUAGAGUAACAUAGACUAUGCAUAUGUUGUAAUUCUGAGCAAGAUAGCAAAGUAACACAGAUAUGAACUGAAUCAAAAGCAUCUUUAAAUAUACACCUCCGGUCUAGCUACCGAAAACCCCCAUCUUACACAAAGUAAAUCUUGUCAUGGUCCCCCCUAUCAGUGUAGGUAGUCUAAGGGCAUGAACAUAAGAACAUGUCAUACUUAUCAGUAGAUUAAGGCAUGCAAAUCUAGUCACCACAACCACAUAAACAUGCUAUGCAAUUGUUGGCGACGGUUAGCGCACCAGUUUGUGAACCGCAAGCUCACGGAUCAUCAUAACUUUUCCCUUAGAGUAUUCCAUCCAAGGUUUAUCAAUCCGUGGAUCGGUAGUGAACUGGCUAGUAUCUUCAUCUAGUCUAACGGAUCUAUCGUAACAUGAAGAAUGGAUUGCAUAUGAGGGUAGACCGGAUAUAAAGAUUAAUGGUUUGAAUAGGGGUAGAUCACAGCCACAGAUAUAUAUGAUAUAACACCACCAAGGGUAGCAAGAGCCUAUCAUCUUCUAGUUGUAGUUCUAGCCAACGAGCAAGCACAUCAUGCAUCUCAUCCAAAGCAAUCUUUAAACUACUACCUCCUCUCGAAAACCCCCACCCUACAUGGAAGCAUACCCCAUCAUGAUCGCUCCUAUCGGCAUAGCCAGUUUAAGGGCACAAACACAUAUGAACAUGUCUAGAUAUCAUGAAGGGUCAACAAACUAGAUCUAAUCACCAUGAUCACAUACAUCAUGCUAUGUAGUCUAAACUAUAGCAUUAGGAUAAGGACAAACAUAUUCAUGAUAGAUAGAAAGCAUAAUAGGAGACAUUGAGUCGCUAACAGAUCAGAUGACAUGAAGAACAUUGCUCACAUAAUAGAUGUAUUAGAUCAUCACCUCCGAGUACAUACCGUCGAUGAUCUACUACUAGCUUUCCUGAACUCCACCAUGGCACAACCGCGUAGGGAGGCCAUGGUAGCUAGGGUUUGGCCUAAGCUAUCUCCUAGACAACUUUGAAAGACUUGCUACGACCGUUAGCUCCCUCAGGUGAAUGCCCUAGAUUUCAUCGAGCUCUGGUGGACGGAUGCGUGUGCCGACGAAGAAGGGGGAUAUUUAUAGUCCAGAGGUGCCGUGGGGAGAAGGGAACAUCAAUCGGUCAAAAAUGGGCCAGGCCGAUCGGCCUGCCCUCUGUAGGCCUCCAAUGCAUGAGCACUUAGUACAAAAGUUAUAGAUCUUUUCAAGGCAUGCAAUUUUCUGUGUAAUUCGCCCCAAUUAAAGUUCGGAUGAUGAAGAUAUGGCCCGUGCAAGUUCAGCUGCUCCUACGGGCCUGCAGUCCAAUGUUCCUGAUUUUGUCUUCCAAUAUCCAAAGUUCGGGCCCAAAUCAAAUCUUGUACAAAAACCCUUCAUUUAUAUCGUAUUUCCUACGGUUUUACAAUAUGGUCCAAAACAUAACACAUAUACGAAUAUGGGGUUAUUUUGGGUGCCAAGUGGUAGGUUAGUAUUAGAUUUAGUCCAAAAACACCACUUAAAUAGCACUAAAUUGGUGGCAAUAAUGAGCGCCAACAACAAUCUGUCAUCGAUCAUAGAUUGAAAACCAGCAAACCCAAUAGAGCAUAAAAUCAUAGAAGGAGGCACUUAGAUCGCUAAGAACCGGAACACAUCUAUUACUUCACCAUCAAUAGUUGUACAUCACUAGAUCUCCACCAGGAUUCUGCCUUGAUCUGUUGAUCCUAGCUCUAGAACUCCGACAGGGUUCCCACAUUAGCUAGGGCUUAGCUACGCUAAUCCCUAGACAACUACACGGCCCUCAGCUGUUUGAAGUGGUGCCCCUCAGGCUCCUUCUGCUUCUCUACUGCUUACCGUCGAAUGCAUCGAAUGAAUCUGCAUGGUUGAUGGAAAAAUUGGAGUAUGGUCCAAUCCAUGGCUCCUCCUCUUGACGAAUGACGACGGGAGAAGAAGUGGCUGCCGGUGGGAUGGUCGCGACCGAGGAGGAGGAUGUGCCAUCUGCGUCAUGAAGCAACAGGGAAGUGGAAAGUCAACCGCCUCAAUCACCAACAGAGGAGGAGACAGUGGCAUCUCCACGGCCGCUGAACGCUCAAUGGGAGGAGUGGCUACACCGCCCUCAAGCAGUGAAAUCUAGCGGCUUGAGGAAAUGUCACCAACAGCAGCUGCAUCGAAAGGAUCCUCACUCGCCAUGACCUCGAGCUGAGGACCCGACUGCACGACCGCGUGCACCGACUGAACCACUACAGGCUCACCUCGAGGAAUGGAGCCAAUGACUUCACGGAGAGUCGUCUCACCCGAAGGAGCAUCAAACACAGGUGGAGCUUGCGAGGAGCCACGAGCGCGAUCAAGACGGUGGUCUCGCCCCUCUUGGAUAAUGGCCGGGCGGGACCCCUGUCACGCGAGAAAAGGGAAACCAUUACGACCUCACCAAACCCGACUCCCCAACAUCAACUAGAAACAUGGGAUCGAACACUAACCUGGGUGAAAACAUACACGACAUCCUAUGAAAUUUAGUCAAAGCGGGGGCGGAAUCCUCGGGAGGGGCUGUGGUGUCGAGGACGUCAUCCGCCGAUGGGUCCUCCACGCGUGCAUUCUUGGAGGCAUCGUCAUAAAUCACGAUCCUUGGCCCAUGCUUCUAGGUGGAGGACUCAGAAGGAAAGUGAGCAUCAUCAACCGUGCCUCCCGGAGGCAACGAUGACUCAUCGUUAGAGGAGAAAUCAGGAUCCUCGAGCUCCUCCUUGCCCGCGGCCAAGCAUCUCUGAUGCAAUGCCUCAAAGUCGCUCUUCUUCUUCUUUCUCACGUCCUUCUUCCUUUUGUCUUCCUCCACGGCCACAGCCUUGGCAGCCUCCGGGAUCCGCCACUCAGAGGCGAGGUUCAGCAGACCCUGGGGCGAAGAAGAGGCAACAUUAACCGCAUGAGAACAUCAGAAGAAAAUGCGGAAGGGGUGAAAUGCCACCACGAAAGCAGGGAAUCCAAUCAGGAGACUGACCAAGUCGGGCGGAUUAUCAGCUUGAAAAGCUAUUGGGUGUCCCACCGGCGUGAUGUCAGCGUUCCCUAACAGGAAAGAUCGGACGCGAGCACGAACCUCCGAGUCGGCGAGCUCCUCAGACCUCUCCCUGGUCGGGUCUUGGGGACCCGAGUACUGAAACAUGCCAUGGGCCUAUUGCUUCACGAGUUGGAUACACUGACUAAAGAAUUCCCAAAGUAGCUUGGCUCCGGUGAUACCUUGUGAGACGCGCUGACGGAAGACUAGAAGAACGCGAUCCAAUCUCUUCUUGUCAGGUGUCGGCACGCCCCAUGUCCAGGAGUCCGGACUGUUGGGAUACAAGGUAGGCUACGCUAGCACAAAAUAAAAUUUUCUACCACGUAAACCAGGAAAAAAUUGCCAUUAUAGAUCACGGGAUUACCACUCAACGCACAGGUGUGGAAGUUGUAAAUACGUGUCGGAGCAGCGAAGUCGAUCACACGUCGACACAGUGUAGUCGGAUAUGUCGACGUCGAGCAGCCCCUCAGCAGCUCGUCCACGUGUAGCGACUCCCUCAUCAUGCCGCGGCUCGUGAGACUCAUCGUUGGCUCGUCGUCAGCUCGUUAGGUUCCUCGUCGGAGCUCUCUUGCAGUGCCUCGUCCAAGUGCUGUAGAUGCAACACCUCCAAGGUAUCCACACAUGUGGGGAGGAAGCAUCGCAAGCUGGACUGCUAGGUCCGCGAGUUGCAACAAGGUGAGGGCGUGGGAGGCGCGGCUGCUAUUGGUGCGAAAUGGAUUAAACCCUAGGGCGCCCCCACCCCUCAAUAUAUAGGGGUUCCUAAUGGGUCUCUAGGUCUGAGGCCGAUUAGUACUCCAAAACCUGGUCCAAUUCAGAUCACAUCCGAAUUGGGCUUCCAGUCCUUUAAGUGUGUGACCCUAUAGGUUCAUAUACGUAUAAACAUGGCCCGGGUACUCCUACUUGGCCAAUAGUUAGUAGUGGCCUCUAGCAAGACAUACUAACUCUUAUACGCACACGAAGAUCAUAUCAGACGAACCAUCACAACAUCACGUACAUGCUAUUUCCUUUGCCUCACGAUAUUCGGUCUAGCUCCAAGCCGACCACUCUUUCUCAAUGCUAUGAUUCGGAAUCCCUUUCUAGGUUAACUCUUAACCUCACGUAGCAUGGCCAUGCAUUUUUGGAUCCAAUUACUCGAGGGGUCCAGAGAUAUCUCUCUCAAAUAGAGAGGGGAAAAUUCCAUCUUGACUGACCAUGCCUCACAGCAUGAUUCUUGACAAACCCGAAAGCUACCUUUAUGACUACCCAGUUAUGGUGUAGUGUUUGACGGCCCCUAAGUAAGUCGAUCCACAUCUUGAGUACAUGCGACAGUCUCAGGUCUAAGGACAAAGCGUACACGUUGUGUAAAGAGAGAACUACAUAACUCGUGUUGGGUCAGUCCUAGCACAUGUCUCUACACGUGCCCACAUUAUUAGUUUGACAUCUCCAUGUCCAUGACUUGUGAAACAUAGUCAUCAACUAAUACAUGCGCUAGUCUAAUAUUCAUGUGUGUCCUCACAUGAAUUCCGACUAGGGAUAAUUUUUAGAAUAACCAUAUAAGUAAAAGAGUUUCACACGCAAUUCACAUAAUUGCAAAUCAAUUUUCAAGUAUCCUUUAAUGGAUAUUCAAGGAACACAAUAUAAAACAUGGAUACAAAGGAAUAUCAUCAUCUCUAUGAUUGCCUCUAGGGCAUACCUCCAACAAUCUCCCACUUGCACUAGAGUCAAUCUAGAAGAUAUCUAAUACCCAUAGCUCUUAUGUGUGCAUCAUGCUUAGACUGCGGGAGAGGCUUUAUCAAUGGAUCAGCAAUAUUCAAAUCUGUCUGUAUUUUGCAUAUCUUGAUCUCACCCCGAUUAACGAAGUCUCCAAUGAGAUGAAAUCGCUGCAUUACAUGUUUUUCUUCUGGUGAUUUCUUGGCUCCUUUGCUUGCGCAAUAGCCCCAUUAUUAUGACAGUAGAGAUUCAAUGGACUAGACGCAUUCGGGAACACACCAAGCUCAAUAAGGAAAUUCUUCAUCCAAACACCAUCCUUCACGGCUUCUGAAGCCGCGAUGUACUUGGCUUCUAUUGUAGAAUCAGCCACCGUCUCCUACUUGGAACUCUUCUAGCUAACAGCACCGCCAUUUAGCGUAAACACAAAUCCCGAUUGUGAUUUUGAAUCGUCUUUGUCGGUUUGGAAACUAGCAUCGGUGUAACCUGUUACAACAAGCUCCUCCUCACCUCCAUAGAAGAGGAACAUAUCUUUAGUCCUUCUGAAGUACUUAAGAAUGUUUUUCACCGCCGUCCAGUGACUCUCACCCAGAUCAUACUGGUAUCUACUUGUCAUACUUAGCGCAUAUGAAACAUCUGGGUGAGUACUUAUCAUUGCAUACAUGAUAGUGUAACAACCUAGAUUAAUUAAGCCAUGUUUAAGUCUUAAUCAAGUCAUUAGUGCUUAAAGAAGAACUUUGACAAUAACAAGGCAAGUGAAAGUACACUUUUACCCCUCACAAGGUUAAAACGCUGCCCAAACAGUAACUCAAAUUUUUGCUUAAGAACUUAAAAAUUUGUCCAACUAAGAGUUGUAGAACUCAACUUUCUCAACAAGUUUUAUUUUUUCGUAUUUUGCUUGGAUCUGAGUAGAAGCCCUUCAAAACCCCGAAAUACCAAUCUGUGUUGUUUUGUUUUAAACUAGGCAAAGUCCAACUUUGGUGCCCUCUAUUUUGAAAUUUCUAUUGUCAAGUCAGGCUGAGCCCUAUACCAAAGUUUUAGAGCUUCGGGACCUUAACAACUUUGCUUUAAGGAGUGAGUUCCAAAUCUACCCCGAAAGCAUUCAAAUUCCUGGUCAAAGUCACCUAGUUUGAUCAACUCAGCCUCUUCGGCAAUCUCGGCAAGUCUGGAAAUCAGCCCGACCUGGCAGCUUAGGAUGGAUUUAUCUCUUAAAAGUUGAACAGAACAUCAGAAAAACCCUUUACAAGAGUUUGAGAGCUAAGUUUCUAUAACAACUUUGUUAAUUGGACCUUGGUUCAACUCAUCUCCGAGGAUUUUCAAAACUGUAGCUCAAGCCAGCCAAAAACCCUAAAAAUAGCCCAAAGCUGUCGUUUUUCUCUAAGUUUCAAGUUUUAAAUCUCCAAAAUCUACCAUGAUUUUGAACUCGGUCAAAUUACAAAAGUUAGACUUUGGUCUGUGUACUACAACUUUUGUAAAGGGAGUCAAUAUGGUGCGGUUUGAAAAUCGGAAGAUCUAGGUGCUUAAAGACCGGCCUGGCGAAAUGAUCCGUGGAUCCCUAGGCCAGAGCGUGCUCGCGCGACGUGCAUCGCGCUCCAGAGCGCCGCUGCCGUGUGGCGCGGCCUCACUAGUGAAGCCGCCUCGCCCAGUCGCCGGUCGCGAUAGGAUGGGUCGACGCGCCUAGCAUCCCGGUCGCAUGCGACGACGCCCUACAGCCCCUCCGCUUUAUCUCGUCUCGCCUGCCCGAGGCAUUGCCGGCCGCGCCAGGUGCGCUGCCCGCAGCUCUGCCGCCUCCCCGGCCACUCCACGGCCAAAGCCGACUGCUGCCGCGCAGGUGUUGCCUCGCCUCCCGCGCACAAUCCGACCAGCUGGAUCUCUGGUCGCGCGCCCAACGCCUCCCGGCCCUCCCGUCAAGACGGCCAGUGCGCCGCUGCCUCCGCCAACCGCCACCUCAACCGCGAUGCUUCAGGCCUAGCCUCGCCAACCCGACACCCCAACAAAGCCGUCACUCACGUGCACGCUCGCUCCACCCGCGCCUAUCCACCUCGCUUGCAGCACCCUCUCCUGUCACGCCUCUUCCCUAUCCUCUGUCCACCAAUGGCACCGCCGCCAUUAAUGGCCAUAGCAGCACCCUAGCUUUCCUCCGGUCCCACCUGCCAGAGCCACGAUCCCGCCUUGUUCGCCACUCUGCCCUGUCCCUAUAAAUAGGAGCCCAGUGCCACCGGUGCCGCCUUCCCCGCUCGCUCGAACCUCGCCACACUCCCCUGUUUUCCACUUCCCGCACCGUUGCACACCCACUCUGUGGAGCUCCCUCUUUCGCUCGACCCCGCGCCUUGCCAACACCACCAGCCGCUUCGCCUCCCUCUCGCGCAGCUCUAGAGCCUACUUGUUGCCCGCGAGAAGCACCACCGCCGCCGGAACACCGCCGGACUCUGCCGCCACCCGAAGCUUUCUGCCUUCCCGCCCUGGCCAAGCCUCCCCAUCGCCCCCAACCGCUUCAAACUAGACCAAGGUGAGCUCGUAAGCCCUCCCGACCACCCACCGUCCCAAGGCCGCCGGCGCAUCGCCGGGAUUUUACCGGCCGCCGCCGCACGCACGCCUGAGGACCCAAUUGCGGUUUAGAAAGUUCACUCAGGGGCUUUAGUGCAUAAACUAGGGACCCGUACGCAAAUAAAGGGUAGAUGUAAGGGUUAGAUUGCAAGUUUACCUCAAUUUAAAUCUUUUAAUUAGCAGAAAAUGUGUUUAACUUUGUAACUUCACCAAAAUUCGUAAAAAAUUCAGAAAAAUGUCAAACCACUUUUGCUAGGCUCAGAAUAGAGUAGUUUGUAAUAAAAAUACUUUUGGCCUAUGUCCCUGCUGGAAUUAAUGUGAUAUGUUUUAAUUCUUGUUUAAGCCAUUUAAAUCAUAACGAAUCGUGGAAAAAUGAUAAAAAGAUGAAUCCAACUCUCAUAUGUCUGUUUCAAACAGUAGAAGCUUGGAAAAAUGUUUGGGAGCUUGGCUCAGGUGUUUAAAUCCCUGUUUUAGUUUUACCAUGUGUAAACAGGCUUAUUUUCACCUUUUGCAUAAUAAUUCAACCUAAGAUGAUAAAAAUAUGAAACCUUUUGGAUAAGUCAGUUGUAUAAUGUCUUUUAUGGGAAAAAUAUGAAAACCACCAGAAAUAAAUAGGUGAACCACCUUUCCUGUUUAGAGAAGAAUACAUAGGGUAAAUGCAUAAAAAAAGAUACCUUUUGCAAAAAUUGUUAAAUACAAGCUACCUUAAGGUAAUAAAGGCAAUAUUGGAAGAGAUACAAAAGAACAUUUAGAAAUAGGAGCACUUUCUGAUCUAAAGCUUAAUAAAGUGGAAAUCCAUAUAUGUACACAAUCGCCAUCAAAUCAACCCCGGCUUGUACCACACCCCACCUUCCUCAUGUAAUUAAAGAAAGUUCAGGAACUUGUUUAGGUGAAUGUGGCCAUGUUAUAACUUUUUAUUCUUUAGCUUUAACUCGUGUUCACAUCCUAUAAGAAAUGUAACUUGAUGCAUUGCAUUUCGUGUAGAGCUGAACCUCGCAGACGGAACUUACGAGCUGCACCCGGCGCUGGAAGAACGAGCCGUAGCUGAGCCACCGCCUGCAGAAGCCGAGCCCGAGCACGCUGAAGACCAGUCCGCUACCGCCCCGCUUGAAGGCAAGCCCCAGAGCAUGAAUUCCUAUGUUUUAAUUACUUGCAAUACAAUUGCUUGUCUUGUUGUGCAUUUCAGUUGCAGGAAUUGUUUGAAACCAUAGAUGCAUGAGAUAAGCACCCUUUUGUUAUGAGCACUAGUAUUUGAAGUUGAGUAGUUGCAAUGCUUAAUAGGACUCGGUAAAAGUCGAGUGAUUGACUGUCACUCGCGAGUUAUAGGAGUUGUUUGCUUUCCUUUUGUUACAUCUAUAAGGAUGAUGGAUAGGGCAGGGCCUUGUGAACUAUUUUGGUGGUCGGUGGAUUGCCUCGUCUGUCUACAUGAAAUUGGAUUAAGGUCAAGAUGUGAUAGUGUUCGUGAUCAAGUGUUUGAAAGUACUAAUCUCAUACCUAGUAUGGGAUGGGGAAGCCUAGUACCUGAUUGAACCAGGAUGUGAGCGGUUCGUUCCACUGUCUCUGGAAAGGAGUUUCCUUGCGGCCGCAUGUGGUGACAAGUGCGGUCAUAGAACGGCAGAGGCCGGGUUUAUGGAGCCUUGUACCAAGGGAAGUGGGCCUGACAAGGGUCUGGGAAUUGAUGGGGACGGCGGACAAAUGAAGCGACCCUUCGCGGUGCGCGGAUGUCGUGGGAUUAGGUUCACCAUGCAUGGUUAAGAAAUUCGAAUCGAUUCAUCUGCCUCUCACAGAUUGGGACUACUUGAUCGCUAUGCUACACUGAGUAAGAAUGAAAGAUGACGAUGAUCAAAUUUUGUUACCUGUAAUCAAUUGCUUGGAAACUAUGAUUGUUUAGUAUAGCUGCUAACUUAGAUUGGUAAUUGAACGUAGAACUGAUGGCUAAAAUAUUCAAAGUAAGGACCUACACUAGUUGCUUUUGGCAAAAACAAAUCCCUCUAGCCAAAGGUUGCAUGUCUAGGUGUUGGUGGAUUAGUACCACCGGUCGGUUAAGUCUUGUUGAGCGUAGUCGUCAGCCUUGUUGUGGCUCUCUUUUAGGUGAUGUUGAUGCCUCUGAGCUUGCUGCAAGUGGCCCUUGGCCUCCCCAGCUUCCUCCUGGGUGGACGGUCGAGUGGGAUCCCUCCUCGGACGGUGAGGAUCGGGAUCACUGAUGUCAUGAUCGGCUUCGUCAUGAUGUCCGACAACGGCAUUAGCUUCCGUUUGUUUAUUUUUGCUAUUUAAACUCUGCAACUAUGUUUGAAUUUUGGACUCAAUGUUGUAAUAAUCUUGAUGCAUUUGUUUAAUUCGGAUGAUCUAUUGUAUUCUCUGGAACCACUCAUCUUAAAGUGAGCUAUGCUUUCUCGGUCCUCUAAAGUGGUUUAUCGGAUAAAAUCCGAUGGAUUGCCAAGUUAACUUGAUUAAAGGACAUGAUCGCGUGUUAGGCAACUUAAUUGUGCUUUAGCUAAGUUAAUUUGGGAAGUUCCGCCAUAGAUAGAUCCGAUAGCCGAAGCAUAUGACACUCUAAUCAUGCGAUCCCGCUCAUCAGUAGUUGAAGGACACUGAGUCUUGCUAAGGUGUAUGCCAUGUGACAUAGCAAGAAUCCUUUCUUCGCCUCUUCCAUGUUGAACCGUUUCAACACUUUGUCAAUGUAAGUAUCUUGGCUUAACCCUAUAAGCCUUCUCGAUCUAUCACUAUGGAUUUUGAUGCCCAAAAUAUAUGCUGCUUCCCCUAAGUCCUUCAUCGAAAAACUAUUUUUCAGUGAAGUCUUUACGGACUCAAGCAUAGGAAUGUUGUUUCCAAUCAGUAAUAUGUCAUCCACAUAUAAGAUUAGAAAUGCUACAGAGCUCCCACUAACCUUUUUGUAAACACAAGACUCUUCUUUGUUCUUUAUGAAGCCAAACCCUUUGACUACUUCAUCAAAACGAAUGUUCCAACUCCUAGAUGCUUGCUUCAACCCAUAAAUGGAUUUCUGAAGUUUGCAUACCUUUCUAGCAUUGUUCAGAUCGACAAAACCCUUGGGCUGCAUCAUAUACACGUCCUCAGUUAGAUUUCCAUUCAGGAAAGCUAUCUUGACAUCCAUUUGACAUAUCUCAUAAUCGAAAUAUGCAGCUAUAGCUAGAAUAAUCCCAAUAGAUUUAAGCAUCACUACGGGUGAGAAGGUCUCGUCAUAGUCAACUCCUUGAACUUGUUGAAAACCUUUCGCGACAAGUCGUGCUUUAUAGAUGUGAACAUUUCCAUCCACAUCUCUCUUAUUUUUAUAGAUCCAUUUGCACUUUAUGGCUUUAACACUAUCAGGCGGGUCAACCAAGUUCCAAACUUGAUUGUCUCCCAUGGAUUCUAUUUCGGAUUGCAUGGCACUCUACCAUUUUUCGGAGUCUAGGUCCAUCAUUGCUUUUGCAUAUGUUGCAGGCUCAUCAUUGUCCAACAAUAAUAUUUCUCGCAUUUCGUGGAGCCUUGCCGACCUUCAUGAUUGUGGUGGUGUAGGGAUACGAGGUAGGCUACACUAGCGCAAAUCAAAAUUUCUACCGCGUAAAACCAGGAAGAGCUGUCGUAUAAGGAUCACGGGAUUACCACUCGACGCACUACUGGUGCGGAAGAUGUAGAUAUGCGUCGAUGCAGUGAAGACGAUCACGUAGUCGUACGUAGUCGAUCAACGUAGUCGUACGUAGUCGAUCACGUCAACGUCCAGCAGCUCCUCAGCAGCUCGUCCAGGUGCAGCAAGAUCGCCCUCGUGCCGCGGCUCGUCGUGGCUCGUCGGCAGCUCAUCCAAGUGCUGCAGGCGCAACACCUCCAAGGUAUCCACACGUGCAGGGAGGAAGAGUCACAAGCCGGACUGCUAGAUCCGUGAGUUGCAACAGGUGAGGGCGUGGGAGGCGCGGCAGAUGUGUUUCGCCAAAAGGUGUAAACCCUAGGGCGCCCCCACCCCUCUAUUUAUAGAGGUUCCUGACGGGCCUCUGGGUCCGAGGCCCAUUAGUACUUCUAAACCUAAUCCAACUCGGAUCAGAUCCGCAUUGGGCUUCCAGCCCCUUAAGUGUGUGACCCUAUGGGUUCGGAUACGUAUAGACAUGGCCUGAGUACUCCUACUCGAGCCAAUAGUCGGUAGCGGCCUCUAGCAAGACGUGCCAACUCCUAUACGCACACGAAGAUCAUAUCAGACGAACCAUCAUAACAUAAUAUACAUGCUAUUCCCUUUGCCUCAUGAUAUUUGGUCUAGCUUCAAGCCGACCGCUCUUUCUCGAUCUUGUGAUUCGGAAUCCCUUUGUAGGUUAACUCUUAACCGUACAUAGCAUGGCCAUGCAUUUUCGGAUCCGAUCACUCGAGGGGCCCAGAGAUAUCUCUCUCAAUCAGAGAGGGGCAAAUCCCAUCUUGAUUGACCAUGUCUCAUAGCAUGCUUCUUGACAAACCCGAAAGCUACCUUUAUAACUACCCUAUUACGGCGUAGCGUUUGAUAGCCCCUAAGUCGGUCGAUCCACAUCUAGAAUACAUGCGACAAUCUCAGGUUUAAGGACAAAGCGUAUAUGUUGUUUAAAGAGAGAACUACUUCUCGUGUUGGGUCAGUCCUAGCACAUGUCUCCACAUGUGUCCACAUUAUUAGUUCAACAUCUCCAUGUCCAUGACUUGUGAAACAUAAUCAUCAACUAAUACAUGUGCUAGUCUAAUAUUCAUGUGUGUCCUCACAUGAACUCCGACUAGGGACAACUUUAGAAUAACCAUACAAGUAAAGAGUUUCACAUACAAUUCACAUAAUUGCAAAUCAAUUCAAGUAGCCUUUAAUGGAUAUUCAAUGAACACAAUAUACAAAUCAUGGAUACAAAUGGAAUAUCAUCAUCUCUAUGAUUGCCUCUAGGGCAUACCUCCAACAGUCUCCCACUUGCACUAGAGUCAAUCUAGAAGGUACCUAAUACCCAUAGCUCUUACAUGCGCAUCAUGCUUAGCCUGCGGGAGUGGUUUUGUCAACGGAUCAGAAAUGUUCAGAUCCGUGUGUAUUUUGCAUAUCUUGAUCUCACCCCGGUUAACGAAGUCUCGAAUGAGAUGAAAUCGCCGCAUUACAUGUUUGUUCUUCCGGUGGUUCCUUGGCUCCUGUGCUUGCGCAAUUGCCCCAUUAUUAUCACAGUAGAGAUUCAAUGGGCUGGACGCAUUAAGGAACACACCAAGCUCAAUGAGGAAAUUCCUUAUCCAAACACCUUCCUUCGCUUCUUCCGAAGCCGCGAUGUACUCGGCUUCUGUCGUAGAAUCGGCCACCGUCUCCUGCUUGGAACUCUUCCAACUAACAACACCACCAUUUAGCGUGAACACAAAUCCUUAUUGUGACUUUGAAUCAUCUCUGUUGGUUUGGAAACUAGCAUCGGUGUAACCUAUUACAACGAGCUCCUCCUCACCUCCAUAGACGAGGAACAUAUCUUUAGUCCUUCUCAAGUACUUAAGAAUGUUUUUCACCGUUGUCCAGUGACUCUCACCUAGAUCAGAUUGGUGUCUGCUUGUCAUACUUAGCGCAUAUGAAACAUCUGGGCGAGUACUUAUCAUUGCAUACAUGAUAGAUCCAAUAGCCGAGGCAUAUGGCACUCUACUCAUGCGAUCCCGCUCAUCAGCAGUCGAAGGACACUGAGUCUUGCUGAGAUGUAUGCCAUGUGACAUAGGCAAGAACCCUUUCUUUGCCUCUUCCAUGCUGAACCGCUUCAACACUUUGUCAAUGUAAGUAUCUUGGCUUAAACCUAUAAGUCUUCUCGAUCUAUCUCUAUAGAUCUUAAUGCCCAGAAUAUGUGCCGCUUCCCCUAAGUCCUUCAUCAAAAAACUAUUUUUCAGUGAAGUCUUUACGGACUCAAGCAUAGGAAUGUUAUUUCCAAUCAGUAAUAUGUCAUCCACAUAUAAGAUUAGAAAUACUACAGAGCUCCCACUAACCUUCUUGUAAACACAAGACUCUUCUUCGUUCUUGGUGAAAUCAAACCCUUUGACCACUUCAUCAAAACGAAUGUUCCAACUCCUAGAUGCUUGCUUCAAUCCAUAAAUGGAUCUCUGAAGCUUGCAUACCUUUCCAGCAUUUUUCGGAUCGACAAAACCCUCGGGCUGUAUCAUAUACACGUCCUCAGCUAGGUUUCCAUUCAGGAAAGCUGUCUUGACAUCCAUCUGCCAUAUCUCAUAAUCGAAAUAUGCAGCUAUAGCAAGAAUAAUCCGAAUGGACUUAAGCAUCACUACGGGCGAGAAGGUCUCGUCGUAGUCAACUCCUUGAACUUGUCGAAAACCUUUUGCGACAAGUAGUGCUUUAUAGAUGUGAACAUUUCCAUCCAUGUCCUUUUUCUUCUUAUAGAUCCACUUGCACUCCAUGGCUUUAACACCAUCAGGCGGGUCGACCAAGUUCCAAACUUGAUUCUCUCCCAUGGACUCUAUUUCGGAUUGCAUGGCACUCUGCCAUUUUUCGGAGUCUGGGUCCAUCAUUGCUUCUGCAUAUGUCGCAGGCUCAUCAUUGUCCAACAAUAAUAUUUCCCGCAUUUCGCGGAGCCUUGCCGACCUUCGUGGUUGUGGCGAUGCUUCUCUUGCCAUGGGUAUCUCAACUUGUUCUGCUACGUUAGCAUCACUCAUUGAUUCUUGCCCGAUCGGCUCAUCUUGAACUUCUUCAAGAUGCACUGUCUUUCCACUCUUUUCUCCUUUGAGAAACUCUUUCUGUAGGAAAACCCCAUUCCGAGCGACAAACACUUUGCCUUCUGAUCGGUUGUAGAAAUAAUAUCCCAAAGUUUCCUUUGGAUAUCCCACAAAAAUGCACUUAUCCGACUUGGGUGUGAUCUUGUCUGACUGAAGUCGCUUGACAAACACUUCACAUCCCCAAAUCUUUAGAAAAGACAAACUAGGAACCUUUCCAGUCCAUAUCUCAUAUGGUGUCUUAACUACGGAUUUAGAUGGUACCCUAUUAAGUGUGAAAGCUGCUGUUUCUAGAGCGUAUCCCCAAAAUGACAAUGGUAGGUCCGACUGGCUCAUCAUUGAUCGAACCAUGUCCAACAAAGUUCGAUUACGUCGCUUAGAUACACCGUUUCUCUGAGGUGUUCCAGGCGGCGUAAGUUGUGCAACAAUUCCGCAACUCUUUAGAUGAUUGCUAAACUCGUGGCUCAAAUACUCGCCUCCACGAACAGAUCGUAAGGCCUUAAUUUUCUUGCCACGCUGAUUUUCAACUUCAUUCUGAAAUUCCUUUAACUUUUCAAAGGUUUCAAACUUGUGCCUCAUCAAGUAGACAUAGCCAUAUCUACUAAAAUCAUCAGUGAAAGUUAUGAAGUAUUGGAAUCCUCCUCUAGCCGUCGUGCUCAUUGGUCCGCAUACAUCACUAUGUACGAGUUCCAACAAUCUACUGCUCUCUCAGGAAAUCCUGUGAAAGGCGUCUUGGUCAUCUUGCCUAGCAAGCAAGCCUCACAUGUCUCGUAUGAUUCAAAAUCAAACGAAGUUAGAAGUCCAUCAGAAUGGAGCUUCUUCAUGCGCUUUUCACUUAUAUGACCCAAACGACAAUGCCACAAGUAGGUAGGACUCAAAUCAUUAGGCCGAGGCCUUUUAGCACUUACGUUACAGACAGGUGAACCAUCAAGAUUUAAAACAAAUAAUCCAUUCACAAUAGGUGCAAAAGCCAUAAACAUAUCAUUCUUAGAGAUCACACAACCAUUGUUUUCACUCGCAAAUGAAUAACCAUCCUUCAUCAAGCAUGAAGGAGACAAAAUGUUUCGACUUAAACUAGGAACGAAAUAACAAUUAUUCAACUCCAUAAUAAAUCCUGACGGGAGGUGGAGUUGCAUCGUCCUGACGGUCAACGCAGCAACUCUUGUAUUAUUGCCCAUGUGGAAAUCAACUUCUCCUCUUUCCACGCUUCUACUUCUUAUCAUUCCCUGCAUCGAAUUGCAAAUAUGAGCAACCGAUCCGGUAUCAAAUACCCAAGAAUUAAUAAUCGUAUCAGUGAGAAAAAUAUUGUCUAUAACAUUAACAACAAGCGUACCUGAGGUAGAAGUAGUCUUACUUCCGCCAUUCUUCAAGGAAGCUAGGUAUUGCUUGCAGUUUCUCUUCCAGUGACCAAGUUCAUGACAGUAAAAGCACUCUUUGUCUGGAGCAGGUCCAGGUCCAGCUUUAACCUUGGGCGUUGGGUUUGGCUUGGACGUUCCAGCCUUGCCCUUCUUCUUCCAAGAAUUGCCCUUCUUCUUAAAGCUAGGCCUGUUCUGUAUAGCCAUCACAUGGCUGGUACUAGCGCUUUUCUUGAUGUCAGCCUCUGCUGUUUUAAGCAUGCCACACAGCUCAUUCAGACCCUUCUCCGUCCCAUGCAUAUGGUAGUUCGAGAUGAAGUUCCCAUAGCUAGGUGGAAGAGACGAAAGAAUGAAAUCAGUGGCCAACUCUUGGCCCAAUGGGAAGCCCAGCUUCUCCAACCGUUGAGUGUAACCAACCAUCUUGAUUACGUCUGGUCCUACUGCUGCGCCUUCUGCUAGCUUGCUCUCAACAAAGGCCUUAGACACAUUGAACCUUUCAGUCCUGGCCUGUGUUUGGAACAUGUCUCUAAGCACCACGAUCAUAUCGUGCGCCUCAUGGUUUGUUUCGAACUGCAUCUGCAGCUCGGGUUCCAUGCAAGCAAGCAUAAGGCAGCUUACUUCGAGGUUAGCAUCACAUGCUUUCUUGUAAGCAUUCUUAGCAGCAGCAGGUGCAUCAUCAGCAGGUUCUUCUGGUAGUGGGUUGUCUAGAACAUCUUCCUUUUUCUCAGCCCUGAGAACAAUUCUCAGGUUACGGAUCCAAUCCGAGUAAUUUGUUCCAUUCAACUUGUCCUUCUCAAGGACUGAACGCAAAGCAAACGGUGUAGUGCUGCUAGGUGCCAUUUAAUCUACAACAAAGUAAUGCAAAAUACACUAAGACAAACGUAUCCAUGAUAGAGUAAAUCAUAUUAAACUAUUUUAACAGAAUCUACUCCCACUAAAAUCAUUAUCCCUCUAUUGAAACUUAGUGAUUCAGGAUCCACAACUAACAAGUCUACUAGUGAGCUUUAGCAUCACCGCUAGCAAACGAGGUAGAUCAGUAAGCAACUUUUGCUAAUCAUAUCACAUAUGACUCCUGUUGUUGGGUGACAUCUCUAUGUCUCGGCACCCAACCUUUAUGCCCCAAGGUCCUUAACCGUUAAGAUAACCUUGUUAAGCAAACCAACCCUUAUGCGUGUAAGUGUCCGACACAAACCCGUCUAGUCAAGGAAAACUAGUGGCACCCUAAUUUCAUAGACCCACCACUAAUUGUACAAGACAUGGGACGGUGCAAGUUUUAGUUGGGAGGGCAUACUAACUUAAACUUUGUGAGGGAUCGUUCUACUUCUAACAUCACAGUAUGCAGAAAGUAAAAUAUAAACAGAAUAGCAUUGACACAGUUGUGACACAGUAUGGCCCGUUUUCAUAUGGCAAUCUCCAUCUCCAUAGAAUCUGUUCACCAUGGUGAUCUCCAUCUCCAUGUUCCAUGUGCGUCAUCCUUCUGGUGAUGAGUCCUCCAAGAACUAGAACAUGCUAUUACGCCUAAUAGCUAGUAAAGGAAGCUAGUAAUGAAGAUUACAUAGUUGCUUGGAUCAUCACAGAUUGGUACGCAGACCAUUAAAUACAUUAAGGUGACAACACUUAUGGCUCCUACCGUGUUGCCGUACGCGCGACACGCAGGUCACGAAAGAGUUACACACAUGCAUCACAUACACAAAGGGGCCAUACUGAUCACAAGAUACAUACAUCCUGCAAAACAGAGUUAGGCGUUCUAACGUUCCAAACUUCAGAGGCCCGAAACUCCAUCUUAGAGGCCGAAUUUGGGAAAUCUAAUUUCGCCGAAACCGACAAAGUUUCGUAAUCAUGUGACCAUGUUCGUGACAAUAAAAGCACUCUUUGUCUCGAGUAGGUCCAACUUUAACCUUGGGCAUUGGGUUUGGCUUGGCAACCUUAUUCUGUAUAGCCAUCACAUGGUUGCUACUAGUACUUUUCUUAAUGUCAGCCUUUGCUGUUUUAAGCAUGCCACACAGUUCAUUCAGACCCGUCUCUGUCCCAUACAUAUGGUAGUUCGAGAUGAAGUUCCCAUAGCUAGAUGGAUGAGAUGAAAGAAUGAAAUCAGUGGCCAACUCUUAGCCCAGUGGGAAGUCCAGCUUCUCCAACCGUUGAGUGUAACCAACCAUUUUGAUUACGUGUGGUCCUACUGCUGCGCCUUCUGCUAGCUUGCUCUCCACAAAAGCCUUAGACACAUUGAACCUUUCAGUCCUGGCCUGUGUCUGGAACAUGUCUCUAAGUGCCAUGAUAAUAUCAUGCGCCUCAUGGUUUGUUUUGAAUUGCAUCUGCAGCUCGGGUUCCAUGCAAGCAAGCAUAAGAUAGCUUACUUCGAGGUUAGCAUGACAUGCUUUCUUGUAAGCAUUCUUAACAGCAGCAGGUGCAUCAUCUGUAGGUUCUUCUGGUAAUGGGGUGUCUAGAUCAUCUUCAUUUUUCUCAGCCGUGAGAACAAUUCUCAGGUUACGGAUCCAAUCCGAGUAGUUUAUUCCAUUCAACUUGUACUUCUCAAGGACCGAACGCAAAGCAAACGGUGUGGUGUUGCUAGGUGCCAUCUACAACAAAAAAAUAAUGCAAAAUACUAAGACAAACGUAACCAUGAUAGAGCAAAUCACAUUAAACUAUUUAACAGAAUCUACUCCCACUAAAAUCAAUAUCCCUCUAUUGAUACUUAGUGAUUCAGGAUCCACAACUAACAAGUCUACUAGUGACCUUUAGAAUCACCGCUAGCAAGCAAAGUAGAUCGGUAAACAAACUUCUUGCUAAUCAUAUCACAUAUGACUCCUAUUGUUGGGUGACAUCUCCAUGACUCGGCGCCCAACCUUUAUGCCCCAAGGUUCUUAACCGUUAAGAUGACCUUGUUAAGCAAACCAACCCUUAUGUGUGUAAGUAUUCGAUACAAACCCGUCAAGUCAAGGAAAACUAGUGGCACCCUAAUUUCAUAGACCCACCACCAAUUGUACAAGACAUGUCUCGGUGCGAGUUUUAGUUGGGAGGGUAACAAUUGCUAAUUAGAAAGGGUAAAAUAGUAAAUGCUUAAUUAUGUUUGUUUAAAAUUCAGAAACAGGAUAACUUUCAAAUGAUUGCCAAGUAGCACUAAAAUAACCCCCACCUUUCUUUUAUGAAUUCUAAGUUGUUAGAAUGUUAUAUGUGUACACAAUCUUUAUCAAAGUCAAGCCCAAGCUUUAAAUUGCAACACACCUUACUUUACGAAGAAAGAAAAGCUCGAAAUCUUGUCUAGGUGAAUGUGCUCGAAAUGCAAUCUAUGCUUCUGCAAUAAUUCAUGAAAUGCAACCUGCAUGUAAAACCAUGUAAUUGAAAUCUUGCAUAUGCAUCUCGUGUAGAAGCAAAUCUCACCGACGGUACAUACGAGCUGAUCCCGGAAGCUAAGGAGGAGCCGUUUGUGGAAGUGAACCAGAUCGAGGUUGCCCAAGAACCGAGUCAAGCUUCGAACAAGCCCCAGACUGACCUAGUACAGGAAGGCAAGCCCUGGAGCAUAACCUUGGUUUCUAAAAGUAUGCAAUACUUUUGUUACUUAUGGUUGUGCAUUAAGUUUAUAGGCGUUGCUUGAAACCGUAGUUGCAUGAUCCUAAGUAGCUAUGUUGUGAAUACUAGCAUGAUAAGUCGAGUAGUUGCUAUGCUAAAUAGGAACACGGUAAAAGUUGAGUGAUUUCCUAUCACUCGCAAGCUAUAGGAGUUUCCUGUUUACUUAUGUUGGAAUCAUAAGGUUGACGGGCGGGGCUUGGUAUUAUGUUUUAGAAUUGGUUAAUGCCCUAUCUAUUUAGAGGAAAACUGCUAAGGUCGAAAUGUGUUAGAGUUGUGGUCAAGUGUUUGAAAGUACUAAGCACAUACUGAGUAUGGGAUUGGGAAGGCUAGUACUUGAUUGAACCGGCGUGGACCUUUUCCCCGCUCUCUCUGGAAUCGGGUUCCCCUGAUGCAUCAUGUGGGUACAAGUGCAACCUCGGUACGGCGUCGUCCGAGACCAGUGGGGCCUUGUAUCCGCGAAUUGAGGGGAAGCGUUGAUAUAUGUGAACCUAUCAUGGUACGCAUAUGUCAUGUGUUUAGUUCCACCUUGCACGGUUAAGAAACUCGAUUCGAAUCAUCUGCUUCUCACAGUUUGGAAUUGCUUGAUCGCCUUUCUGCAUUGAGUAAGAAGAGAAACAAAGGAUGUUGAUUUCAUAUUGAUGCUUGAUUAAUUUGCUUAUUUCACUAUGCUUGCUUGGAAUAAGUGCUUACCUAGAAUGGUUAAUCAACUAGAACUUGAUGCUAAAUCUUGAAAGUAAGGAUCCACUUUAGAUGCUUUUGGCAAAAACAAACCCCUCAGCCAAAAAGCCUUGCAUGUCUAGGAGUCGGUGGAAUAGAUACCACCUGAUGGGUAAGUCUUGCAGAGUAUUAGCAUACUCAGUCUUGUUUGUGGCUAUGUUUUUAGGUAAUCUUCAUUUUGAGGAUAUGGUAGCCAGUUUGACUUGACCAACCCAACUCCCUCCGGGUUGGACGAUCGAGUGGAACCCGUCCUCGGUCGGUGAGGAAUGUGGUGAUUGAUAUCACGGAAGACUUCACCGUGGUAUUUUGUAUCGAUGUUUGACCGAUCAUUGUUUUCCGCUUCUUUUGAACUCUGAACACUACUUUAUGCUUUUGAACUUUCAGCUUGUAAUAACUUAAUUUGGGACCUGUAAUAAUUUAUCUGGAUUGUUGUAAUCUUUGGACUUGUCUUCGUGCGAGUAUGCUUUGUUUCGAUCAGAAACCUGUGGUUGUAUAGGGUGAAACACGACAGACUGCCAUUUUAAUUCGAUUAAAGUGUCUAUUCGCAUUUAAGGCGAUGUUGAGUACACUUUAGCUGGGUUAACUUGGGAGGUUCUGCCACAUCCACGUCCACUGCUCGGCACUCAUCCUCAGCUCGAGACCACACCAGUAUCAUGCAGCAGCUGAGCGAGCUCACCAUGCGUACUAGCGAUAUGGAGGAGUCGCUGAACCAACACAUCUAGUCCACUCAGGAUUUGGUAUGACAGACGAGCGAGAGGAUCCACACCGUGCAGCAGUUUCAGCAGCAGGAGGAGGAGGAACUGAGGGCUUACUUUCGUUGGACGGGGUACAACCCCAACCAACAAUAGUGAGCCUGAAGCUAGCUUGGAGGAGGACCCCCCACAAGAGAGGUAAAUUGUAUCUUUACUGUUUUCAGAAUAUCCAUGAUAAAAACAAAUAAAAAUCUGAAAAACUAAAAAUACCAAAAAUAAUUACUGCUUUCCUAUGCGCAGUAAGAAUAUUUUAAUUCCUCAUGGUUAAAAUGAUGAAUAGUUGCUCUAUUUAUUUCCUCUCAUAUGUCUUGUUAGAACUUAGUAUCCUACCCAUGUUUUUGAGUUUGUUGGCUUGCAUGAUCAAACCUUAGCUCGAAACUUGUGGGUAGCAAAAAGCAUGAUCCAAGUCUAGGUUGUUGUGAGAUAUGAUAUGGUAGAAUAAAGUUGCUAUGAUCUUGCUCUACGUGAUGCCUGAUAUUCGAAGUUUCAUUUUUUGAAAAUGCUAAAAUGAUAAGUUCCUCAAUGAUGAGAUAUUCCUAUCCAAGGCCAUAUGUUGAUCCUAUUACAUAGCCUCCACAUAUGCAACUUGUUCUCUCAUUGAACUUUUUCAAAUUGUUGUGACCCUUAGUGAGAAAUUUGUCAUACUCCCAUGAUCAAGAUCAUGUACACGCCACCACCAUAUGCUAAACUUCUACACUGGAAGUUAGCAAUCAUCAUUUCAUCCACCCACAAAAUAAAACUCCAUGUUGUUUUAUGACCUCUCUCUCUCCAAAGUUAUCCUUACAAAAGAGACUUGGGCUAUGCAAAAAGAAAUAAAAGACAUGCUCAUGAAAGCAGGAUGAAAAAAAAGAAGAGAAAAGAAAAGAUAGCCCAUGUCUCAAAAGAAAAAAGCAAAGGAGAGACAGGAAUCAUACAAAAAGGAGUCCACAUACGAUCCACCAUAUCCAACAUCCACACACAUGCACAUCUUGAUCAGGUUGUAUAACUUGCUUCUCCAAAGGAUCUAGUCUUUGACUUAGCAAUACAUGAGAGAUAGGUAUGCCUACAUCUUCCCUACCUACAGCUCCACAUAUAAGCCUAUUAGGAGUAGGUUGUGAAAGUAAGGCAAUCCUAUGCCUUAGUGAGGAAUUAUACACAUUGAACGAUCCGAGAGUAUCAUUUGAGGAACUUUGAUUUCUUUUGAAAAACUUUACAAAACCUCCGAAUUGAUAGCUGAUCAAAGGAUGAGUGAAAGGUGGUCUACAAAACCGUUCUAUCUCUCAAUCGCCAAAGACAAGGUGAAACUACAUACCCCGCAAGAGUAAGGUAAGAUGUAAGAUCAAUGCCAACUUCUUCAAUCCUUGGUAGAAUAUUUUAUUGUAAUCUUGGCAUACGUUAGGAAUACAACAUAGUAGUAACUUCUGAUCAACCAACCUAAGUCUUAGUAUUUGCUCGAGAUGAGCAGAGGGCUAGCUUAGGGGUGUUGUUGACGGUCGUUAAGUACCAAAUAUGACUAUCAAUAUACUCAAGAAUAAAGGAGGAUUGACAUUUCUUACACGCAUAUUUGGUCGAAUAAUGUAGUACCACUUGUCCUUGGAGAAUAUUUGGUUGCAGGUGAAAUAACACAAAAGGAGGGAGAAAGCACACUCUAUGGAUCCAAGAAACACAACUCCGAUCAAUGAGAGAUCGCCACGGAGGUCGCACAUAGAUCCAUGGGCCCACAAUCCACAUCAAACCGCCUUACCAAGGCGAGUAGCACCCACAACUGUCAUUGGGACCCACGUAGCAAUCUCGAAGACGAAGGCGGUUGCAAGUGGGGCCAGGGGGGUCGGCUAAAGCAGGGUGUAACAUCCCUCAAAAUUGAGUGAUUUUAAUUGUGCCAGUUUUUGCAAAAAAUUAAAAAAAAUUUGUUUGAAUGUGUGGAUCAUCUAAAUACAUGGUUAAACUUAAGGUCAACCCUCAUUUCUAUUCUCUGAAUUCAAAAGCUAGUAAUUAAAAUUGUGCAUUCAAAUUUAAAACAUACUUGCUGAGUGAUUUGAAUUUUAUUUGGUUUAAUUUGGGUCCAAAAUACAAACUAAAGCUAGUACGUAAAUAACACAAUAAAAAUCUAAUGUGACUAACUCUAACUUUGCACGCGAGCUGGCCAGAAACCCAACCAGCUCGGCCUGAUCCACUAACAUCGCUCUCUUUCUUUUCUUCUUGGACCCUAACUACUAGUUAUCCUGGACCUUAGCUAGCUUCGUUAAUCACGUUUAGUACCCAGACCAACCAACGUAGCCCAGCUUGCUUCCUUUCUUUUUCUGGAAUCUCUCUCUUCCAUUCACGUGUUGGCCCAGCCCAAGCCUCCUGGUUUUCACGAGAAACCUAACCAAGCCAGACACUGUCCGCUGCUUCCUUCUUUCUCUCUGCUCCGUUCUCCUUUUCUCCGUCGCUCCAUCCCGCGAAACAGAUCGGCAGGGUGGUGCCCUGUUCCAAAACGGGAUGUCGACACCUGCUUCUCGCCCUGUCUCUGCAACCAGGUCCCGCUCCACUUUUCCCCACGCGCGCACCUGUGAGCUAGCAGCCCACUGGCUCGUUGGACUCACGCGCGCGACGCCGCUCCCCCCAGCUCUGCUUGAUGCGCGCCACACGUCCCGGCGAGGACGCCGAGAAUCCCUGGCCGUCCAAGCCUUGCUGCCCCUCGCCAAACCCUAGACUUUGCCCUACAAAUACCUGCCGCCACCACCUCCCUUUCGCCCAGACCAGCAGGGGAAAACCCCCAUCUCCAAGUCGCCGGUGUUGCUGUUCCUUGGAGAGGGAAGAGAGGAGGGAGGCUGUGGUGAGGAGGAGACGCCUGCCACCGAGCGCCAAGCCAAGAAGCUGCAGCGCCGAUGACGCCCAGAGUGGUGCUGCCCCAAGCCAGCGCCCUCGUCAACGGUCAUGACGAGCCAGAGCUGCUGAGCGUCGACACCAAGCGAGGGAGAGCAGGGCCACAACGACGCCGUGGUCGAACCGCGAGCUCGACGAUGACUGCAUCACCCCCGACGCCGCCCUUGCCAAGCAGAACCGCGAUCCUAUCGCGCCACCUCGUCCCUACUCCACCGUCUUCCCCGCACCAAGCUUCUCACCGCCAAGCCCUCUAGUGAGCGCUGCUCUCCUUCCUUAUCGAAGCCCUUUUCCGGCUUUCAUGCUGCUGUGAAUGUUGCCGUCGCCUGCAUCGUGUCCGUCCUUUGAAACAUGGGCGUGUCGUGCAGGUACCCACCCGAGCUGCCACCGUGCUGCAGCCUUUCCGCGUGCUGCCAUGGUUGCGAAUAGCCAAAACUCAACUCGUGACCCUGCCCCGCUUGCCCGCGCGUAAUGCAGCCUUGCUGUGGCCGUUGCUAGACCAUGGACCCGCACACACCAGCGCGCCGCUCCCUUGCCGACACGACUGUUCCGCCUCCUAGCCAGACCCGCCACCGCGGCACCUUGCCACCGCAACGCCACCGUUGUUCGGCUGCGAUGCCGCGCGCCAUAGGCCCGGUCCGCUGGUACACCCGUGAGCCUUGUCGCCACGCCGCGGCCGGGGCUAGAACGCAAGCCCACGUGUGUGCACAAGCCUAGCCACAACAGCUAGCCCGAUCGACCCUCGCGAGCGUGCUCAGUGCACCGCCGUCGCUCUGUCGCUGCCGUUCGUUGCGGCCAAGGCCUGACCUUGGCCCGUCAGCACGCCUGGCUGCCGCACCAAGCCAAAGUGGAGCCUUUUUGACCUCCCUGAGAUGCUGUCAAGCCGCAUAGGACCACGCCGCCACCUUUCAUCACUGACCGCCCGCUAACCCGCCACCCGCCAAGCAUCGCUGCCGCGGAAUACCCUUGAGGCAUUAUGCCGAGCACCCUGCGCGCGUGCCCAAAACCCCAACUGGGGGCGGACACACUGUGGACCACACAUGGACGUGGCCACACGGGCCGCAGAGGAUCCACCGCGCUCGAACCAACCCCGUGGCGGCCACGUCAUGGGCCACGUGGACUCCACAUCUGCUUAGCAGUCACCCUACAGAUAUCCUAUAGCCGCCUAUAGCCCACACAUGGGCGAUGGAUCAGCCGCCACACAACUAACAUAUAGCCAUGUUGGAGGUAUGCCCUAGAGGCAAUCAUAGAGAUGAUGAUAUUCCAUUUAUAUCCAUGAUUUAUAUUGUGUUCCUUGAAUAUCCAUUAAAGGCUACUUGAAUUGAUUUGCAAUUAUGUGAAUUGUAUGUGAAACUCUUUACUUAUAUGGUUAUUCUAAAGUUGUCCCUAGUCAGAGUUCAUGUGAGGACACACAUGAAUAUUAGACUAGCACAUGUAUUAGUUGAUGACUAUGUUUCACAAGUCAUGGACAUGGAGAUGUUAAACUGAUAAUGUGGGCACAUGUGGAGACAUGUGCUAGGACUGACCCAACACGAGAAGUAGUUCUCUCUUUACACAACAUGUACGCUUUAUCCUUAGAUCUGAGAUUGUCGCAUGUACCCAAGAUGUGAAUCGACUUACUUAGGGGCUAUCAAACGCUACACCGUGACAGGGUAGUUAAAAAGAUAGCUUUCGGGUUUGUCAAGAAGCAUUCUGUGAGACAUGGUUAAUCAAGUUGGGAUUUGCCCUCUCCGAUUGAGAGUGAUAUCUCUGAGCCCCUCGAGUGAUUUGAUUCAAAAAUGCAUGGCCAUGCUACGUAUGGUUAAGAGUUAACCUACAAAGGGAUUCCGAAUCACAGGAUCGAGAAAGACCGGUCGGCUUGAAGCUAGACCAAAUAUCAUGAGGCAAAGGGGAAUAGCAUGUACAUAAUGUUGUGAUGGUUCGUCUGAUAUAAUCUUCGUGUGCGUAUAGGAGUUGGCACGUCUUGCUAGAGGCUGCUACCGACUAUUGGGCCGAGUAGGAGUACUCGGGCCAUGUCUAUACGCAUCCGAACCCAUAGGGUCACACACUUAAGGGGUUGGAAGCCCAAUUCGGAUAUGAUCCGAGUUGGAUUAGGUUUAGAAGUACUAAUGAGCCUCGGAACCAGAGGCCCAUCAAGAACCUCUAUUUAGGGGUGGGGUGCCCUAGGGUUUACACCUUUUUGGCGAAACAAAUCUGCCGCGCCUCUCACACCCUCGCCGGUUGCAACUCGCGGAUCUAGCAGUCCGGCUUGCGACGCUUCCUCCCUGCACGUGUGGAUACCUUGGAGGUGUUGUGCCUACAGCACUUGGACGAGCCGCCGAUGAGCGACGACGAGCCGCCGACGAGCCACGAUGAGCCGACGACGAGCCGCGGCACGAGGAUGACCUUGCUGCACGUGGACGAGCUGCUGAGGUGCCGCUUGACGUCGACAUGAUCGACUACGUUCGACUACGCUGAUCGUCUUCGCUGCCCCGACGCGAUUCUACAUCUUCCGCACCAGUGCGUCGAGUGGUAAUCCCGUGAUCCAUAUACGACAGUUUUCCUGGUUUACGCGGUAGAAAUUUUUGAUUUGCACUAGCGUAGCCUACCUCGUAGCCCAACAAGCCAACCUAUAGCUACCCUAUAGUCACUAGGGUGCCACGUCAGCACGUAGGACCCACUUACCCGUGGACCUAUUGACCGGUCAACCUUUGAUCGUUGAUUGUUGACCGAGUCAACGCUAACAUCAUCUAGGCCCCUGAUGAUGUUAGCAAGACACGUGGCGCACUCUGGUGCUGCCACAUGUCACGCCGAUGAUUUUUCUUAUUUUUACGAAUUAUUUCAAAAUCCAGAAAUUAAUUCCAACUUCAAAAAUUCAUAACUAAUUCAUCUUAACUCCAAAAAUUAUAAAACCAGUUUCAUAAUUUUUCUAAAAUCAUUAAGAACAUGAUAGAUGAGUCCUUGUUCUUAUUUGGGACUUCUUUGCAUCUCUUUUAGUUUUUCUUUGCAAAUAGACCCUUUGUAGUUAUGAUAAUUGCGUAAUUAGGAGUUGCCGAAGACUCGGAGCUGAACCUGGAGCCGGAGCCAUUCGAGGACCACUACGAGGAGGAAGACUAAUUAGGUUCACGCCCAUUCGAGUUGAAUACCCAUUAGGCAUUGCUACUAGUAUGCUAGUGCUUUAUUUCUUCACAUGAUGAUGAUAAACCAUGCAUUGACUACUUUAUGCCAUGAAUCCUUGUGUGACCUACUACCAUAUUUCUUAUUUAUGCUAUGUGCGAUGCUUGCAUGUGUAUGGGAUAUCGUGAAUAGGAUUCUUAGCGUGUGUGGGGGUUAAAACUGGCAGCAGAAGGUGUUUUGGGGAUAUUUGACGAGGGUGAGCUUUACACAGCCCAAUCUUUGGAUUGGGGGCUUGGGGUCCGUUCUCACAUGUUCCUUGUUUGGUACUUGUUGUGAGUACAUGGUUGAGGAGCAUAAGAGUUGGUCGUGGUACUUAUAAUGGGUACCGUUGCGGUCCACGUGGUGGAGUCGCUUUGUGGAAGAUUAGGAGCUCGCCCCUAUCUGAAACCGAGUGGGUCGCCAUGCUUCACAGGAAUAUGUUAAACAUGCAUGCCACUCGCUGAAUUAUGGGUUUAAGCCUGGGUCGAGACUAGCAAGUGUGGUACCAUACCUGCCAUAGUAUAGAGUAUCAGUGUAGGGGGGAGAGGUGUUGGCCUAUAUGCCCCUAAUUUGCUUUUUCCCCUGAUUGGCCCUGGUGGGAGUGCUUCACAGUUCCACGGUAGUCCACUGCGGGGGAUCGCAUCCAAGCCCAGCUGUAGGAUGGUAGCAUAACUCCCAGGUUCUUCACUCAGUAGGGUGAUGUUUUCUCGGUCGAUGGACCGUUUGGGCUCACUUCGAGAUGGGUCCAGGUGUACACGCUCAGCAGAGUUAAAACUAUACGUAUAGCCGCGUCCUCGGUCAUGGACAACCCUGUGACAUCAUGACUCUCCAUUGUCUUGGGAUAUCUCUACCUCCCCUUUUAGCUACUUGUGGGUGAUGUGAGCCGCAAUUGCAGUCGAGAAGAGGGCAAGUUGCUCCCUUUCCCUUUAGGAUCUGGCUGUAGUUGUUGAGAGGUGAAGAGAGGGAGUCUUCGCCUCGACCCUAGUUUGGAGAUAGGAUGUUGGUUAUAGGGACCCUGUCGAGGCAGGUGUGCUUGAUUUGUUGAGAGAUUGGGAUCAGGCUUAUGGAGUUUAUCUUUAUACUUGCUGCUGCUUAGAAAACCCGAGCCUACUCCUUGUCUACUUUUGACCCUUAGCAUUUAGGCCACUUAAAGCUUGCAUACGGGUGGUGACGUGGACCUGUCCCAUUCCUUGGGGACAGCUCGUGAGUUUGCAGGUUACGAGUCUGACUUCGACAACAACUUUGAUGGGUGGUACGAUUAAGGGCUGAGUGCUAUGCUCAAGGAUGCCUGUGGAGAUGAUUGUGAAGAUGGAGGCGUUGCCUGAAGCUAGUUUCUAUUGCGUUGGUUUUAUUUGUGUCGUUUAGCCCAAGGAGCAUGUACCAGAUCGUACUCUCAUAUUCUGGGAUGUAAUAAAUAACUUCUAUUGUUAAUGAUGUAUGGAUGUGAUAUUGUGCUAAAAUGAGUUCAGUAUGUGAUAGGUACUGAUCCAGGGACUAUCACAAGGAUAUAGGGAGUCGGGUUUUCAGAAAUGAAAACCCAGUUCGUUUCAUAGGUGUUCGGCCGAACCGCCCUUGUCCAACUCAUCCCCAGCUGAGACAGGACGGUGGUUGAUGGCUUCCCUACAUUGGUUAUAGGAGAUUCCUCUGAAUAUUCCUCCUAUAAACGCCUCUAUGAGCCUAUAAAUAUGAGGGUAGGACACACACCACAAGUGAAUCAUUCUCUCCCUCUUAGUUUCCAAUUUAGUGGAGUUAGGCUAGAGUAGCUCUCUUUUAGGUUUCAGGCCUUCUUGGAGUCUAGGGUAUGGCUCUUGUAUCAUACAUUCCUAGGUUGACUUUAUUCUAUUCAAAGUAUACAUCUUGUUUAUAUAGUGUUGUGCUUGGUUCUUAUAUGCAUGAGUUAGAUGUAUACCCUUGCUAUGUUGAUGUGCUAGGCUUAUAUGCUCAUAUGCUAGUAGUAGUAUACCCUUGCCAUCAUGGUAUAGGCUUAUAUACUCUCAUGUAUGCCUUGAGACCAUGCUUCAGUACAUACUCUAUGUGCAUAUAUACCUUGUAUAGCUUAUUUGAUCUAUGCUAUAGCAUCGGUUCAAUGGCCAUAUUUAUUGUGGUUUCAGCCAUUAAUACAAUAGCCCGGUAUGGUUGGAGUGUUGUUAACAAUGCAAGUAUGGUGCUUGGAUUGCUUAGCUUCAUUGGAUAUGAGUUUACCCCACGGGUUGCUAGGGGUAGACGGCAGGUGGUGAUAGUAUUAGGAAGUAUAUGUGUAUUUUAGGAUGUAUUUAUCCUUUCCUUGUAUACUUGAUGUAUUCCUUGUACUCCAAGCCAUAUUGGCCAUAUAUAUAGAGGUCACCCCCCUCAUUAGGGUGUGUGGUAUUUUCCCAUCUACUUCUCUACAUGGUAUCAUGAGAUUAGAUCGUGGGCCUCCUCUCCCUACACCUUCCACCUGAUCCGCGCAACCCUAGGCGGCCUCCAUCUCACUCCUCUAUUACUAUCAGUAACGGUCACACCCUUCCCAUCACGUGCCGUGGUAACUCCACCCUAACCACCCCCACCUCCCACUUUUGCAUUAACAAUGUCCUUUGUCCCUUCUUUAAUUCGUAAUCUAAUUUCUGUUCGUCAAUUUACUAAGGACAAUAACUGCACCAUAGAGUUUGACACCUUUGGUGUUUCUGUCAAGGAUUUUCCAACCAGACGUGUGAUUCUUUGCUGCAAUAGCGCCGACGAUCUUUACACCAUGCCUCCAGCAUCCAGCUUUGCAGCACCCCACGCCAGCUUCGCCAUCUCCUCCAAUUUGUGGCAUCGUCGUCUUGGUCAUCCUGGUCCUGCUGCCAUCGCUACACUUAGACAAACUUCAUCUAUUGCCUGUAAUAAAGACAGUCACACUCUAUGUCACUCAUGUCAAUUAGGGAAACAUGUACAGUUACCUUUCUCACAUUCUAGCUCUCACAGCUCUGCUCCUUUUGAGUUAGUUCAUGUGAUGUUUGGACUUGUCCCGUAGCUAGGAUUUCUGGUUAUCGUUACUACCUAGUCAUUUUGGAUGACUUCUUGCAUUUUUGUUGCAUGUUUCCUCUAGUUCACAAGUCUAAAUUCGCUUCACACAACAAUCAUCCAAAAACAAGCAUGCUAUGUUGAUAUUCAGAUGUAUGCAACAAACAUUAAACUAUUGCAAAUCCAAAGAUAACGCUAGCUAGGCACAAUUAAGCAUCACCAUCACCAACAUAGUAUGAUGACAUCAUGAUCACAUAAAUGAGUGCUACAGUUACAUAUUAAGAUCUCCCUUCAACCCCAAGGAUAAACAGAGACUUUACUCAUAUGAUCUUACACAUUUUGACACACAAUGCACUAGGCCACAAAAGAUCUGUGCUGGUGGCUAAAAGGGGUCUGUGCUGGUGGGCUGAGCACACGCCAACAACCUUGAACUAGCACAAAUGGCGGGGUGCUCACCCACCAGCAUAGACCACCUAUGUUGGUUGGCAACGUUAGCCCACCAGCACAAACCACCUGUGCUGGCAGGCAACGUUAGCCACCUGCUAGCACAGAUGGUUUCUGUGCUGGCGGUGCCACCCGCCAGGAAUAUGUAUUUCCCAAGCCAAUAUAUUAUUUCCCAUGAGUUAUUUAUAAUUUCUAUUUCUCAUCAGUUGUUAGCCCGUGAGUUAUUUAUAAUUUCUAUUUCUCACUAGUUGUUAGCCGUCAAAUUGAAAUAUGUAUCUCCAACCACAUAACAACAAACUUUAAUAAUAAAUAAUUCACAUUAUUCAAAACUACAUCGUACAUAAUAUAUAAUUCACAUUAUUCAACAAACUUGAAUAAUAAAUAAUUCACAUAAUUCAACAUUUGAAAUAGAGCUAUUCUUUGCCACACUAAUAUUAAAACUACUACACCCAUCUACAAAGAUCUUUGCAUUCAUCCACCAUCAACACACCAUCUUUAUCAAAGAAUGCUCUAUCCUCAUGACAAAUCUCGCGUUGGAUGAACCUCGCCAUGUCCCUACAAAUGUUGUCGAUAUGUUUGUCUUCGAGCGUUGCAUCGUGAGUGUCAAUCCUAGGCAUCUGCAGGUAUACAGUAAAUGAAGAUUAGGAUGUAUUACCAUUAGGAAGUUAGAACAUGGCAGUGUAUAAGAGACUUACGUCUUCAGGGUUCGUCCGGUACCUCCCAUUGUUUCUGAGGAACUCGCACACAUAAUAUCUGCAUAGCGUAGUACCGGGAGGUUGCUUGUGGCACUGCAAUCAGAUAUAAAAAUGAUGAAUUGUUAUUAAUGACAAGUCUACAUUAUAUGAAAAAAACCAAGUUUUUAUGCUCUUAUGAAUCUAUGAUAUAUUAUUUUCAUAGCUUUCUUCCUUUUUUGAUCAUGGUCCCCACCUUUUAUUAUGUAAAGCUUGUAUGCACCUUGAGAGACAAGAGUUAGUAAUACAACUUAGGUGCAUUACUGCCAAGAAAUAUCUUACUUUUGUAUAAUGCCUAUGAAUUCCUUGUAACUAUCUCUACUAAAUCUGACUAAGUCGAGGACCACUACUUCUCCUACCUUAGGUAAAAUAGUGAUGCAAAUCCAGUGGUCUCUGCAUUAUAUUAAAAUAAUUUAUAUUAUAGACGACAUUAAAUAGCACCAAGUAUAUAUAUAGUAAUUAAAACUAUCUAGCUUACUAAAAAUUGUAAGGAGCCAUGAUAAGAUCCUUGUCAACCUUUUUCCUCAUUACUCUUGCAAUGUAUAUGGACACUUUGUGCAUUUCAUCUCUGUGGGCUUUUGAUUUUAUAGCAUUUUUCUCCGCUUGUGUCUGUGUUGCUUCCAUUUGUGCUUUGAUCGUUUCCGUCAUUUUGAACUUGUGCUCUGGCUUGCUAAUUUGUGCUGGGUCAAGGUAUGCUGCCUUAAACCUGCCGUUUGUCAAUUCUUCCUCCCUCCAUUGCACCCUGCAGAAUAGGUCGCUCAGAUACUUGACGCAUAAAAUAUAUACGUAUGUAUUUAAAACUCGUGUAUGCGGUACAUGUGGAUUUACAAGCACCAUACGGUAAUGAGAUUCACGUCGAGGUGUUGUCAAUGGUAAAGUCUGUACAAAUCCUCAAAAUCAAUCACAAUCUGGUAAUCGAGAACGCCAAGGAAAACCUUAGUUGGGACACGCGCGGUGAUUGCUCGAAUGUCUUGCUUUGUUGCAUUCAUAAUCCAUCCAUGCAGCUUAUUCAGUUCCCAUGGGCCCUCCAGUAGAUCCCACAAAUACAAGAAUGGUUUGCCAUGCUCAUAAUUCUCUGGGACUUCAUCUGACGCAAAGAAAUUAAGAUUUUCAUCCUUUUCCUUUUGCCAAGAGGCGCCGCAAGUUACAGAUUUCUCACCAGAAGAUGAAGCCUUCUUCUUCAAUAUGUUUAAAAACUUGUUGACUUCUGUUGAUGGAGCCUUUUGAUCAUAUGUGCUGACCAAACGAAGUACCACUGGCCUCUAUGGAGGUAGAGAUGUUGGCGAAGGUGAUGUUGGAUCAAUAACUUGUAAGUCAUCUACCCGUUCAUCGCCUUGGAGUAGUGAUGUUCAAUUGUCCUCAUUUAGACUUUCUAGAACAGGUGAUAGCAUUGGCUGCUUGACCUCAUUGGUAGCUCCCUGCACAUCUGACAGCGUCGGUUGCUCUGUGUCAACAUUUGAAUCUUGAAGGAGUACAUCUUAGGUUGGCCGUAAGGUUUCUGGUGAUGCAUUAUUCAGAUUGAUAUCUCAGCAAAGCCACAUUAUGUCCUGGUUCAUCGCAUCACUAAGAACCUCAAUCCCCUCAUCAAUAGGGAUGUCAAUCUCGCAUGACUCAUCCAACACCGUAACAACUUGUCACACCCGAUUUUAAGGACAAAAUCGAGUGCAUUAAAUACAUGUGCGCCAGGAUCAAGUUACACACAUGUACGACAAUAGUGAAUAGCAAAGACAGUGCUAAAUCGAAUAAAGAGAGUAUUAACCAUUAUUACAUGACCGAAUGUCUCACAUAAACCACAAAGUCUAAUUAUUACGCAGCGGAACUCCAAAGAUGACGACUCCACAGGCAGCUGACUGAAGAAAUGUACGCCUAGAACUCGUCGAAGUCGUGUAGAUACUCCUCUUCCCAAUUAACUUGGUCUGAACAGCGGUUUUGCAAGGGUGAGUACACUUAUGGUUGGUACUCAACAAGUCGUGGGGAAUAGUGUAGUGUAAGGCUAAUUCAAGGUAUGGCUAAGGCAUAAAUAGCAUUCGCUUUUAAUUAAGUUGGUCAAGUUUUAUUAGCAAUUAACUAAGUAUAAGUUUAUACCACCCGAAAUUAAACAUGAUCAUAAAUAAAGUAAACAACAUAUGCAUGAAAUGAUAACAAGUUAAGUCCAUCUUCCGAUAAUUUUAUCAUGUGAGGGUCCAGGCCGCUCUUAACCGUGAACACGGCUGAUCGAUCAGUUUAACACUCUGCAGAGGUGGCACAUCUUUACCCACAAGUCGCGUAAAAGUUCAAAAGAACUUUGGACCCAACCAUGCGGUGCUAGCUAGGCACCAUACCACACUUCCAAGGUGUGAUUGCAUAGGGACGCUACGAGGCCUUUACAAAGAUUCGCUAGAAAUGUGGUAACCCGCUAAGGUUUCAGGUCGAAGCGAAACAUAGCAGUCCCCUAGAGGGCAUAGUGUCUUAGCCAAGCCCACUUCCCAAAAGAGCGAGUGCUAUAUCCCAUCAACGCCUCCCCUCUUGCCCUUCCGGUAAGGUAACCCCAAGCUAGAGUUUCUAAUUAAUCAGCCAAGACCAGAGCCAUUUAGUCUUGUGGUAGCACUGUUUUCCUGGGUGGUCGCUCCAUGUUCCGAUUAACAAAUAAUGAUCUUGUCUUAAUGAAAGGUUAUAACAGAAGUAAAUCAAGAUUAAGCAUUGUGUGUAGUUAAACCACCAUGUACCAAGUAAGCACUAAGCAUGAGCUACCCAACAUAAAGUAAACCGGUUGGUCAAGGCAAAGGUAAAUCAAUCUAGGCGAACCUUAAUUGGGACCCAUCAAUUUAAUCUUAACAUGUGCAUAGCGUAAAUGUUAAGUACGAGAAAGUAAAGGUGUAUAGGACAACAAGGUAGUGAUCAAGGACACGACUUGCCUUCUUGGCCUUGCUCCUGCUGUUCGUACUCCUCGAAGACUUGCUCUGCAACUCCCUCAAACUGCGGGGCGUCUACACGCGUCACACGAGCACAUACAAGCAAACAUGGGCAAAAAGUAAGAAAACAGUACACCAAACAUAGUUAAACAGAGAAAAUAAGCUUGAAAAGAUGAUCUACGCUUUAAAACGAACACGUGGAUAUAAAGAACGCGAAAAACGGAGUUAAGAUGCAAAAGAUAUGAUUAAAACAAGAUCCAGGGACUUUUCUGUGAGAAAAACAAAACUUUCAGGGCCUAUCUGCGAAAACCGAGGGCUUAUACGUAAUUAUGCGUAUAAACCUAGGGUCUGACGCGUAAAAGCAACAAACCCGGACGGCGGGUUGAUUUAUGGAAAACUCAAGGGUCAAACUGAAAAGUGCGAGGGCAGAUCUGUAAUUAUUUUCAACGCGAUCUGGACCGCGGGUUGAUUUGCGGAGAAGACGGGGGCUUAAGUGCAAAAGCAGCGCGGUGCGGCGCAGUUGACCGGUACGCGGUCUGAUUUGACUCGCGAUUGACCGUCGGAUCUUGAUCCGACGGCUGCGGUCGACGACGACUCGCGGGCGGCGGCGGAAAAAGGAAAACCGGCGACGGCGAGCGGCGGCGGGUCGCCAGAGUCGACCGAAACGGCGCUCCGGGGCACCGUUUGAUGUGCGGGUUACACCAGAAGAAAGAGGAGGGCGCGACGAACUCAUUUUGGAGGUCCUCGUCGACCGGAGCUCACCGACGGCGGCGGAAGACGGCGGGGAAGAGGCGGCGGCGCUGGAGCUCGUGGCGGCUAGGGUUUUGGGGGUGCGGGUGCUGGUGGAGGAGACCGAGAGGGGCGGCGGCUUUUAUAGGGCGCUAGAGAUAGAGGGCCCGGGGUUUAAACCCCCCGAAGGAGUCGGAGCGGAGGUGGAGAUCAAGGCGGAGAAGGCGCGCGGCGGUUGCGGAGUUCCGGCCGGAUUCGGCCGGAGGAGGAAGAAGGCGGGUGGGGCCCACCCAUCAGCGGCGCGGGCGGCAGGCAGGCCGAGGCGGCUGCUGGGCCGGCGCGCGCGUUCGCGGGCCGCGGCGCGGAAGAAGAGAGCUGGGCCGGAGAGAGGAAAAGGGAGGAGGCCGGCGGGGCUGCUGCGGCUGGGCCGCGCGGGAAAAAGAAAAGGGGCCGGCGAGGAGAUUCGCGGGCCGGUGAGGAUGAGGCGGCCGGGCCGAAAGAGGAAGGGGCGCGGGUGAUGCUGGGCCGCAAGAAGAAAGGAACGGAAGGGAAGGGGAGAUGCGGCCCAGGAAGGAGAGGAAGAAAAUGAAAAAGAGAGAGAAAAAGAAAUGGUUUUGGAAUUUGAAUUCAAAUUUGGAAAUUCAAAAUUUGAAUCAACUCAAGCAAUCAAAAUUAAUGCACCAGCAUGAAUGCACAAAUAAAUCCUAUGAUGAAUUAAUUGAAUUAAAGAAAAUGAAUUUAAAUGCCUAGAAUUUAAAUGACACCUUAAUUUGAGCAAAUUUUAAUUAAUUUGAAUUAUUGAAAUUUUGGGUGUUACAAAUCCUACCCCCCUUAAGAGGAAUCUCGUCCUCGAGAUUCGGAAGAUCCUGCAAAGAGAUGGGGAAAUUCCUUCUGCAACUCAUCCUCUCUUUCCCAAGUUGCCUCGUCCUCUGUAUGGUGACUCCACUGAACCUUGCACAUUUUGAUCGUCCGAUUUCUUGUGACCCUUUCCAAAGUGUCCAAAAUCUUAAUGGGGUAUUCCGUGUAGGUGAGAUCAUCCUGAACAUUCAAUUCCUCCAUUGGUAACUGUUCCUCGGGAACUCUGAGGCACUUCUUAAGCUGUGAGAUAUGGAACACAUCGUGUACAUCCGACAACUGAUUAGGCAACUCCAAUCGAUAAGCUACCUGUCCCACUCGCUCAAGAAUCUUGAACGGACCGAUGAAUCGAGGUGACAAUUUCCCUUUGACCUUGAAUCGACGCAUACCCUUGAUGGGCGAUACCUUGAGAUACACAUAAUCACCUACCUCAAAGGUCAAUUCUCUUCUCCUGGUGUCAGCAUAACUCUUCUGUCGAGACUGAGCAGUCCUCAAGUUUUCUCGGAUGAUCUGGACCUGUCUUUCUGCCUCUUGUAUAAUUUCUGGCCCGAAUAACUAACUCUCUCCUGUUUCACUCCAAUAAAGGGGUGUUCGGCACUUUCUACCAUACAAAGCCUCAAAUGGUGACAUUUUGAGACUGGCUUGAUAACUGUUAUUAUAGGAGAACUCUGCAUAAGGUAAACUCUUGUCCCAACUGCCUCCAUGCUUUAAUGCACAUGCUCUUAACAUAUCCUCCAAUAUUUGAUUUGUUCUCUCGGUCUGUCCAUCUGUCUGAGGGUGAUAAGCAGAACUGAAAUUCAACCUUGUGCCUAGAGAUUCAUACAAUUUCUGCCAGAAGCGUGACGUGAACUGAGUACCUCGGUCGGACACGAUCUUCUUGGGCACACCAUGUAAACACACAAUCCUUGCCAUGUACAACUCUGCUAACCUUGCCCCAGAGUGUGUAGUCUUUACUGGAAUGAAGUGUGCUACCUUUGUCAAUCUGUCGACAAUAACCCAAAUCGAGUCAUAACCAGCUUGAGUGCGGGGCAAUCCAACUAUAAAGUCCAUGCCGAUUUCUUCCCACUUCCAUUCAGGCACUUUCAACGGUUGAAGCAAUCCAGCUGGCCUCUGGUGUUCAGCUUUAACCCUUUGACAUAUGUCGCAAACAGCUACAUGUGCAGCUACAUCUUUCUUCAUUCCGGGCCACCAAUACUUCUGCUUAAGAUCUUGAUACAUCUUGGUGCUUCCGGGGUGGAUGGAAUAGGCUGAAUCGUGAGCUUCUUUCAAGAUCAUCUCACGGAGAUUUCCCACAUCGGGUACCCAAAUCCUUCCUUUGACCCAUAAGGUUCCCUGAGAGUCUUCUGUAUAGUCUGUGGCUCUUCCUUCUUUAACCAUCUCCUUGAUUUCCUUGACCUUGGCAUCCUCAAGCUGUCCUGCCCGUAUCUCUUGCUCUAGAGUCGACUCCACUUCCAUCGUUGCUCCCUCAGUAUGUGCAACGACACUCAAAUUGAGCCUCUCAAAUUCUUUCAUCAACUCAUCAGGUAGCUGGAAUGCUAAGGCUAAGUUUACAUGACCCUUCCGACUCAAAGCAUCUGCAACUAGAUUAGCCUUACCAGGGUGAUAGUGAAUCUCCAGAUCAUAGUCAUUGAUAAGCUCUAACCAUCGUCGCUGUCUCAGAUUAAGGUCCUUCUGAGUGAAGAUAUACUUGAGACUCUUGUGAUCAGUAUAGAUCUGACACUUAGUCCCCAGAAUGUAGUGUCUCCAAAUCUUCAAGGCAUGAACCACUGCGGCUAACUCCAAAUCAUGAGUCGGGUAAUUCUGCUCAUGUUUCCUCAAUUGCCUAGAAGCAUAGGCGAUCACAUGACCUUCCUGCAUCAGAACACAACCUAAGCCCUGUCGAGAUGCAUCACAAUAUAUGUCGAACCCCUUAUGUAGAUCUGGCAUUACCAAUACUGGAGCUGUGGUCAACCUCUUCUUCAGUUCCUCAAAACUUGCCUGACAUGCCUCUGUCCAUUUGAAUUCUCUUCCUUUUUCUAAUAGCGUAGUGAGGGGCUUUACUAUCUUGGAGAAUCCUUCAAUGAACCUGUGGUAAUAGCUUGCAAGUCCGAGAAAACUCCUAAUCUCAGUCACUGUCUGCGGCAGAUUCCACUUCAAGACAUCCCUAACCUUGCCUGGAUCCACUGAAAUCCCACCAUCGGAGAUGAUAUGACCAAGGAAAGAGACUUCCUUUAUCCAGAACUCACACUUGCUGAAUUUCGCAUACAACUGAUGUUCCCUCAAUUUCUGAAGCACUAACCUCAAGUGUUCCUCAUGAUCUUCCUCAUUCUUGGAGUAAAUCAUAAUAUCAUCAAUGAACACCACAACGAACUUAUCCAGGUACUCCAUAAAUACCUUAUUCAUCAGAUACAUGAAGUAAGCUGGAGCAUUUGUCAGCCCGAACGACAUUACCGUGUACUCGAAGAGACCAUAUCUGGAAGUAAAAGCGGUCUUGGGUAUGUCAGACGGCCUGAUCUUCAUCUGAUGAUAUCCCGAUCGCAAAUCAAUCUUGGAGAAUACCUUGGCUCCUCUCAUCUGAUCGAACAAAUCCUCAAUGCGAGGCAAUGGGUACUUGUUCUUGACAGUCACCUCGUUCAGUGCUCUAUAAUCCACACACAUCCUCUGAGUACCGUACUUCUUUAGCACAAAGAUAACCGGUGCUCCCCAUGGUGAUGAACUAGGCCGAAUAAACUGUUUUGCUGAUAAUUCCUCUAGUUGUUGUUUCAAUUCUUUUAAUUGUUCAACCGACAUUCUAUAAGGACGUUUGGAGAUAGGUGCAGUACCAGGUAAAAGAUCAAUAGCAAAUUCAAUGUCGCGGUCAGGUGGCAUACCUGGUAAAUCGUCGGGGAACACAUCCAGGUAGUCACACACCACUUUGAUAUCUUCCAAGGAUUUUCUAGCCAACUGAUUAACUGCACAAUCUGCUGGUGAAGGUGUAGUAGCCACAAAUUCAAUUCUUUCCCCUGCUGGGCUUGUGAGAAGAACCGACCUUUUUGCACACUGUAUCACUGCAUCGAACUUGCUCAACCAUCCCAUACCGAGUAUCACAUCAAUUCUACUUGAUUCCAAUACUAUAAGAUUAGCCGGGAAAUCUCUGCCGAUUAUCUUGAGGUUCACUUGGUUACAUCGAUAUGAUGCUUUCAUGUUUCCCCCUGGUGAACUGACUAGCAUGUGGCGUGGCAUGGUACUUAUGGGUAUGUUAUGCUUAGCUACGUACUGUGCAGUAAUGAAAGAAUGGGAUGCUCCAGAAUCAAAUAAUACUGAGGCGGGUGCUGAGUUGACAAGAAACAUACCGAGCACAACGUCUGGAGCCUCCUGAGCGGUAUCCACAUCCACGUGGUUUAUCUUGCCACGCACAAAGUUCUGCUGUCCUUGCGCGCGCUGCGGGGUCUGGUUCACAUUCCUUGAUUGCUGCGCCUGUGGGUUCUGUCGAGGUGUGUUAUUAUUCUGCACAGGGGUAGAAGGCACACUCCUCUUGGGACAAGCGUUGGCAUAGUGGCCAACUUCACCACACUUGUAGCAAGUGUUACCCCCUGGAGCAUUGGGCCUCACUGGAGCGCCUGCAAGAGUCAUCUGGCGGCUCUGCGGAAAGCUGGGGCGCGGAGUCUGCAUAGUCUGCAUCCCUGGACGCUGGAACUGCGAGCUGGGGCGCUGGAAUGAUUGCUGAGUGGGGCGCUGGAAUGACUGCUGCCCAUAAGUCCCACUCGGACCCCCUGCGCGGAACGGCGUCCCUUGCUGUGGAGCAAAGCGAGGGCGAGUGUUGCCUCCUGAAGACGACUGGGAAUUGAAUUUCCUCUUCAUCUCCCGGAGCUCGUUCCUUUUGUGUUCCAGGCCAAUUGCCUUGUCGAGCAUCUUCUGGAAACUGGGGAAGGUGUGCGACAUCAGCUGGUAUUGGAGUGGCCCAAUCAACCCAUCCAAGAACAGCUCCUGCUUCUGCUCAUCAUCAGCAACAUCUUCGGGAGCAUAUCGGGACAACUGGACAAACUUGUCCGUGUACUUUGCCACUGUCAUAUUCCCCUGCUUGAGAGCAAGGAACUCCUUCUUCUUAAGCUUCAUCAAUCCGGAAGGAAUAUGAUGACUUCUGAAGCUAGUCCUGAAUUCAUCCCAGGUGAUGCCAUUAGCAUUGGCAUGUGUGGCGGUGUAAGCAUCCCACCAAUCAGCAGCUGGCCCUUCCAGGCGUCCUGAAGCAUACAGGACCUUCUCCCUGUCAGUACACUGGGCGAUAUUCAGCAUCUUCUCCACUGUUUUCAGCCAGUCAUCAGCAUCUAACGGAUCCGGAGAAUGUGAAAACGUCGGGGGCUUGUGGCUCAUGAACUCCUUGUGCCUGUCCCUUGGCGGCGGCUGCUGCUGGUUGUUGUUGUUGUUAUUAUUAUUCAGCUGAGCUUGUAAGGCUGCCACAGUGUUGGUUAGUCCGGCGAGAAGCUGAGUCUGAGCUCCUAGAAACUGCUCCAUCCCUGCAGGUGCUUGCUAGUUCUGCUGCGGAGCGGUGUUGGAAUUGCUGCUGUUGUCCCUGUGGCGAGGCACUGCGGGACGGUCAACUCCUGAUCCGGACCUAGUGUUUACCAUCUGAGCGUUAGAGACAAUAGACUUAAAUAGAUGCGUGAAAGAAUAACUGAGAAAGAUAAAGCGACAAGAUGUAAAAGUAAAACAGAUUCUGUUAGCUCCAUUUAAUUAGGUGUGGCCGUCAGAAGAAGUGUCCAUAAAUACUGAAAAAUUACCAAGUCGUAACUUAUUAAAUUUGUGAACCAACCCAACUGGAAUCGUCUCAAUCGGACUUCUGGAUCUCGAGUUACAAAAUUAACAAGCUGACAGUGUCGGGCGACAGUUUCAGAUUCUGAUUGCUUUACUAAUUCGCAUACAUCUCCCAGAUAGAUUCUCCAAAAAUUCUGAAAACUUUACAGAAAUUACUCCACGAAAUUCUGAAACUAACCCCACUGAUUUCAUGUCAUUUGGACUUCCGUAGCUCGAGAUAUAAAUAAAACAGUACUGGCAUGUCAGAUAAUGUCGAGAACAGAAUUGAAUGUCGCUUAGCUUGCAUGAUAGAUAGAUUUAGACAGAUGGUAGAUCAUGAUUAAGGAAAAUUAAAUACUGAUUUAGAACAGAAAUAAAACCCAACUAAGCACUUUAUUUAUUAAGACCAGUAUCGUGUGGCAAUUGCUCCACAUACCGCACUCAUUACAAAAUCCAACUCAAACAUGUAGCACAAAACCAAACAGCUAAGCACACUUUAACUAACACACUCGAACGACGUCUAACGAUUGCAAGAAUUUAAACUAUAACACUCCUAAUUCCCUAGAGGUCUUCUGCGGCGGCGCCGGGCGAGUCGUAGCGGGGACGCUUAGGUGACGGCGACGAAGCGGGAUGAACAGCAAACUCCUGCGGCGGCGGUGCUCCCGUCGCGGCAGCCAUAUUCGCAUCCCUCUCCCACCGGAGUUCCUGAACCUCCUGUUGAAGCUCCUGGAUGUGGUUGUUUGCUUCAUUCAAUGCGGUGAGAGCUGCCGACGUGUACUUGCGGAGGAAGUCUGUAGCCAUGUCAACCCCAUCAUUAGUAGCGAUGAAGGUUCUUGCUUCCCCACUAGCUCGGUAUGGAAGGAACCGAUGGUAAGUGUGCUGUAGUCGCGGCCGUUCCUUGUGGGAGACGACCUCAAGUGCCCUCCUGGCGGCCUCGGCAAUGCCGGACUCCAUGGACCUCCUUACUGUCACAUCAUGGUGAAUGGCCUUCACCUCCCAUCCUCCUUCGUGCUCCUCACGAAGGACAACCUUCACCUCCCAAAAAGUGGGAUAGCGAGGGUGGGUGAAUCGGGAGCACUUGUAGAGUGGCCUCAUGCCGUACCCCAAGUGGUGACAAGUCCACCUGAGUAUGUCGGCCAUGUGCACUCCUUGGCCAUAAUCUUCCUUCACCCAUUUGAUCCAUGUCUCGGGCUCGGGAUCUGCUUCGGGCUCAUCAUCCGUCAAGUCGACGACCGGUACGGGCGUCGGGGCUGGUGCAGGAGCGGGCGCCGGUGCUGGCGACGGUGCUGGUGACGGCGUGGUCUCCUGCUCCACGGUCACGGCGUCCUCGUUAGAGUCAUCCCCCGGAUGCUGGAAGAUCUCUUCCUCUUCCUCCUCGUCCCAAGGCUCCAUGGGGGCGUACGACGGCGCGAUGCCAUGACGCGGCGGACGGGUGCUCUUGCGUGCGGUCAACCGGGUGCGAGCCAUCUAGCAGAAAGAAAGAAGAAAUUUUUAGAAUAAAAUUUUGAACAAAGCUAGAUAAUAAAAUAGCAAUAAGGAUGAGACAAAUUAAGUUUAAGAAUAAUUAAGUAGAUUUAAAUUAAGAAAGGUAGGAAUGGCUACUAGAUUAUUAUAAUCCUUAAAUACGACCAUUUUCUAACUAGGCUAACGUCCUAUAGUCAACACGGCUCUGAUACCACUUUUGUCACACCCGAUUUUAAGGACAAAAUCGAGUGCAUUAAAUACAUGUGCGUCAGGAUCAAGUUACACACAUGUACGACAAUAGUGAAUAGCAAAGACAGUGCUAAAUCGAAUAAAAAGAGUAUUAACCAUUAUUACAUGACCGAAUGUCUCACAUAAACCACAAAGUCUAAUUAUUACGCAGCGGAACUCCAAAGAUGACGACUCCACAGGCAGCUGACUGAAGAAACGUACGCCUAGAACUCGUCGAAGUCGUGUAGAUACUCCUCUUCCCAAUUAACUUGGUCUGAACAGCGGUUUUGCAAGGGUGAGUACACUUAUGGUUGGUACUCAACAAGUCGUGGGGAAUAGUGUAGUGUAAGGCUAAUUCAAGGUAUGGCUAAGGCAUAAAUAGCAUUCGCUUUUAAUUAAGUUGGUCAAGUUUUAUUAGCAAUUAACUAAGUAUAAGUUUAUACCACCCGAAAUUAAACAUGAUCAUAAAUAAAGUAAACAACAUAUGCAUGAAAUGAUAACAAGUUAAGUCCAUCUUCCGAUAAUUUUAUCAUGUGAGGGUCCAGGCCGCUCUUAACCGUGAACACGGCUGAUCGAUCAGUUUAACACUCUGCAGAGGUGGCACAUCUUUACCCACAAGUCGCGUAAAAGUUCAAAAGAACUUUGGACCCAACCAUGCGGUGCUAGCUAGGCACCAUACCACACUUCCAAGGUGUGAUUGCAUAGGGACGCUACGAGGCCUUUACAAAGAUUCGCUAGCAAUGUGGUAACCCGCUAAGGUUUCAGGUCGAAGCGAAACAUAGCAGUCCCCUAGAGGGCAUAGUGUCUUAGCCAAGCCCACUUCCCAAAAGAGCGAGUGCUAUAUCCCAUCAACGCCUCCCCUCUUGCCCUUCCGGUAAGGUAACCCCAAGCUAGAGUUUCUAAUUAAUCAGCCAAGACCAGAGCCAUUUAGUCUUGUGGUAGCACUGUUUUCCUGGGUGGUCGCUCCAUGUUCCGAUUAACAAAUAAUGAUCUUGUCUUAAUGAAAGGUUAUAACAGAAGUAAAUCAAGAUUAAGCAUUGUGUGUAGUUAAACCACCAUGUACCAAGUAAGCACUAAGCAUGAGCUACCCAACAUAAAGUAAACCGGUUGGUCAAGGCAAAGGUAAAUCAAUCUAGGCGAACCUUAAUUGGGACCCAUCAAUUUAAUCUUAACAUGUGCAUAGCGUAAAUGUUAAGUACGAGAAAGUAAAGGUGUAUAGGACAACAAGGUAGUGAUCAAGGACACGACUUGCCUUCUUGGCCUUGCUCCUGCUGUUCGUACUCCUCGAAGGCUUGCUCUGCAACUCCCUCAAACUGCGGGGCGUCUACACGCGUCACACGAGCACAUACAAGCAAACAUGGGCAAAAAGUAAGAAAACAGUACACCAAACAUAGUUAAACAGAGAAAAUAAGCUUGAAAAGAUGAUCUACGCUUUAAAACGAACACGUGGAUAUAAAGAACGCGAAAAACGGAGUUAAGAUGCAAAGGAUAUGAUUAAAACAAGAUCCAGGGACUUUUCUGUGAGAAAAACAAAACUUUCAGGGCCUAUCCGCGAAAACCGAGGGCUUAUAUGUAAUUAUGCGUAUAAACCUAGGGUCUGACGCGUAAAAGCAACAAACUCGGACGGCGGGUUGAUUUCUGGAAAACUCAAGGGUCAAACCGAAAAGUGCGAGGGCAGAUCUGUAAUUAUUUUCAACGCGAUCUGGACCACGGGUUGAUUUGCGGAGAAGAUGGGGGCUUAAGUGCAAAAGCGGCACGACGCGGCGCAAUUGACUGGUACGCGGUCUGAUUUGACUCGCGAUUGACCGUCGGAUCUUGAUCCGACGGCUGCGGUCGACGACGACUCGCGGGCGGCGGCGGAAAAGGGAAAACCGGCGACGGCGAGCGGCGGCGCGCGACGGCGAGCGGCGGCGGGUCGCCGGAGUCGACCGAAAAGGCGCUCCGGGGCACCGUUUGAUGCGCGGGUUACACCAGAAGAAAGAGGAGGGCGCGGCGAACUCAUUUUGGAGGUCCUCGUCGACCGGAGCUCACCGACGGAGGUGGAAGACGGCGGGGAAGAGGCGGCGGCGCUGGAGCUCGUGGCGGCUAGGGUUUUGGGGGCGCGGGUGCUGGUGGAGGAGACCGGGAGGGGCGGCGGCUUUUAUAGGGCGCUAGAGAUAGAGGGCUCGGGGUUUAAACCCCCCCCGAAGGAGUCGGAGCGGAGGUGGAGAUCGAGGCGGAGAAGGCGCGCAGCGGUUGCGGAGUUCCGGCCGGAUUCGGCCGGAGGAGGAAGAAGGCGGGUGGGGCCCACCCGUCAGCAGCGCGGGCGGCAGGCAGGCCGAGGCGACUGCUGGGCCGGCGCGCGCGUUCGUGGGCCGCGGCGCGGAAGAAGAGAGCUGGGCCAGAGAGAGGAAAAGGGAGGAGGCCGGUGGGGCUGCUGCGGCUGGGCCGUGCGGGGAAAAAGAAAAGGGGCCGGCGAGGAGAUUCGCGGGCCGGUGAGGAUGAGGCGGCCGGGCCGAAAGAGGAAGGGGCGCGGGUGAUGCUGGGCCGCAAGAAGAAAGGAACGGAAGGGAAGGGGAGAUGCGGCCCAGGAAGGAGAGGAAGAAAAUGAAAAAGAGAGAGAAAAAGAAAUGGUUUUGGAAUUUGAAUUCAAAUUUGGAAAUUCAAAAUUUGAAUCAACUCAAGCAAUCAAAAUUAAUGCACCAGCAUGAAUGCACAAAUAAAUCCUAUGAUGAAUUAAUUGAAUUAAAGAAAAUGAAUUUAAAUGCCUAGAAUUUAAAUGACACCUUAAUUUGAGCAAAUUUUAAUUAAUUUGAAUUAUUGAAAUUUUGGGUGUUACACAACUUGCACCCAGGCAUAUUCUGAUGGGGGUUCCUUUGGGAACACAUGACCCAUUACUGCCAUGCCGGUUGUGACGUCUCAAAACUUAUUUUGUUUCCUUCCAUAAGGUAUCACCAACCUGCAUGGUGUUUCUACUUGUAUGUCAUCAACAGGAUACCUCACGUUUUCAAUGGAGCUAGCACUACUCGAAGCAACGAAUCCUGUGUGGGCAAGCUGCAUGGUUGGUUCUACCUGUCGUUGACCAUCGGAUACUCAUCGGAUACUAUCAUGUUAGGCCUUGUUGGUAGUUGAUGGCUGGUGAAGAACUCAAUCAACUCCAGCUUGGUGAUUUCUCUCAUCUUCUCUUCAAGGUUUUUCCUAUAAUGGUCGCGCUUCCUGUAGCUUGCUUGGUCAUUAGGGCAAUGUUGAUGACUGUGACAGCCCGAGUAAUUAAGAACUUAAAUCAAAUAAUCAACAGGGUGAUUAAGAAGCAAAUCCAAGUUAACUCCAAAUUGUUAAGAGUUCAGAUCCCAAAACACCUCAAAUUUUGCUGAGUUUAGAAACUCCUUUUUGUUGAUAAUCACUAGCGAGGCCAAAAUUUUAUAUAAGAACUAAAAUUUUGGCCAAUAUAAAAGUGGUAGAAGGUGUUCCAAAAUUGUGUAGAAGUUCAGUCAAAUUUCAAGUCAAAUCCAAAAACAGCUUUGACCGAUGUCUGCCAAAAUUCCCGCAAUCCUAAUUCCAAAUCCAUCAAGUUCCUCAUAUGUCAGCCUUUACAAAAGUUAUAGCCAACACCUUGAAAUCCAACUUUUAUUUUUGGAAAUGCAACCACAAAGUUCAAACUUGGUGAGAAAAUACGCAUUAAACACAACACCUUUGCUCGACAUGCAUCACAAACAUCUUUGUGCAUUUUUGAGCAUCAUGAACAUCAUUGUGCAGUUUUGAGAAUCAUAAACAUCCUUUUGUGCAUCAUUGAACCUCAUGAGCAUCAUUUGUGCACAUUGGAGCAUUUCAACCAGGCAUUGUUUAAGUGUCUAGAAAUUGUUGUUUAUUGCUGAAAAACCAAAUUUGUAAAGCAACCCCAAUUUCUUUUAUACAAUUGUUCCUUCUUUACUUUAUUCAAAUACUAGAUACACUUUAGUGAUUUUACAAUAUUUUUACCAAAUUUUUCAGAAGUGUUUGCUUGUGCCAAAAAUUCAUUUAAAGUUCAAUUUUGGCUGUUUUGUUUUGUCGAUUGCAUGAAAACUAUAACAGCUUUUGAGUUGAUUUUUAUUGCAUUGUAUUUUUUGUGAUUUCUUCUUUCCAACUAGUAUUUUUGGGGAAUUUUUGGAUACCUGUAGCUAUAUCAAAUAAGGGGACAAAGUUUAAUAGUGAAAAAUGUCGCGGGCCCACUAGUCAUACCCUUCUUCCUCCUUCCUCCAGUGCCUAAAUGCCAGAUGGCCGUCACACAGCCCCAAGUUCGCUAGAUUGGCCCCUCCCUAGUGCCUGCAGGGCUCCUCCUCUGCCCAUAGGCCACCCGAGCAUCCUCCCACGUGCCCUCCCUCUCUCUCCCACGCCUCCCGUCGCCCAUGGUUGGGCAGCCCCUCCAUUGAACGGGCAUGGCUGCCACUCGGCGCAACACCUCCGGCGCCACCCCUCAUCGCCAAUGCUGAGCAGCAUCACCGUGUCAUCCUUAUCGUCUCGCCAAUCCUUAUCCUCUUGCACCCCAACCCUUAAAUCAGCCCUCUCCCAAGCCUCCUUCCCCUCCUUUGCCUUCCAACAGAAACUUUCCCCAUUGCCGAGCUCCCCAACAUGUCCCUGUUCUCCAGCGAAAUCCGGCCAUCUCCCUCCAAUAGCCUGUGCCUCUACCUCCCCACUCAUCCAGCUACGCCCUCGACCACACCUCGCCGUGCACCAUCCACCAAGCCGUCGGAAAUCAAGGUUUUCCCCAUCCUCAAAGAACUUUCACCCACAACCGUCGACCUCACCGUGGAUGCCCCUCCUCCGGUUGUCCUCAUCCUCAACCAAGUGCUCAAAUGGAACUUAGGUGAGGCCCUGGUUCUUGUGCUCGCACUCGUUCUCCUCCUUGGUUGAGUUUCCACGCGCGUUUACGCUCAUGUCACCGGCCGUUCGCCGCCGCCUCCUAGAGCCCCACCUGCGCCACCCGUAUUCCCCCACCUACGCCGCUCCAAGGAGGCCCCCUGGCCUAGGAAUGGCACUGCUGCCUCCCUCUAGCGCCGCUGUGCUUUCUUCCCCUAUCCCCGGCCGGCCGUGCGCCCGUGCCGUGCGUGACCUGAUGUCCCGUGCGUUUUGUCCAAAGGUAUAAGAAGAUAGGAGCUAGUUCUGAGAAGAAAAGAAAGACAAGGGGUUAUGGGGAAAGUUUCAGGUUUUAUGUGUGAGGUGGGAUUCUUCCCAGGGACCUGAGAGCAAAACGCAGGGGGUAGAGUGUUAAGAGAAGGGCGGAUUUGAGAGGGAAAACUUGUUUCCAGGGGGUAGCUUGCAACGUUGUUCGGUUUUGUUUUAUUUGGUGGUUUUAAAAUGUUGCAAACUUUGAAAAUGCAUAGAAACUAGUAGGAAAAUGCUAAAAAUAUGAUUCUUAUUUUGUUGGAUUGCUUGUGAGGUCUAGUUUAUUGUAGAGUUGAGUAUGUGUAUGUUUAUGUUUUAUAUUUUUUGUUAUGAUUUAUUUUGUGUGAGCCAUUAAAUGCUUUAUAAAUCACCUAGUGCUCUAAAAAUGGUGAAACCACUUUUGGUAGCUUCCUAGUAGAAUGCAUGUUUUAGAUCUACCACUUGUGUGAGUAGCAUCCAUAAUGUUCGUACUGUUUUAGAUUUAAAUGCUUACUUGCUAUGUUAAUCUUGUUAUUUGCAUAAUAAAUAGUGAAAAAUUGGUAAAAUGAUGAAACCUCCUCUAUUAGCCUUUGUGUUCCACAUAGAAUCUAAGUAAAGUACUGUUGAUACCUUUAUGGUUGAUUGACAAGCCUUUUUAGAUUUAAUUUGCUUAAUGGUAGUUUAACUUGUUUAAUCUAUAUCUCCACAUUAAGAAUUAAUUUUAAGGUGUAUCCAACUGUCAUGGUUUGGUAUUGAUUGUCUUCUGUUAGUGAAGGUUAUUUCAUUUUUGCUUAACUUAUCAUGCAAAAUUAGUGUCUCUCAUCCUUCGUGUAUGAUUUUGUGCUGUUUGCAACUAGAUUGUGUGUUGACAAUUGAUUUCAUGCUUGUUUAGUUUAUCGUCCAAUUAGUUUAUCUCUUCAUUAGUGCAUAUUUGGUUUGGUUGAUAGCCAGAUUCAGUAGCUCUGGAACCUGUUUUUAGCUCUACUAUGCCUUGUCGUUCCACUUAAGAAACCUCUAAGUAGCAGGUUAGGAUUUUUUUUGUUCAUGACCAAAUGUUACAUUGGCCUUAUGCCCAAUUAAUCAUGCUAAAACAAUUGUGUAAAAAGGAAAACUAUGAAAUCACUUGUGUUAGUUUUCAUGCAUGAUUGAAAUCCUUAGGCAAAUAAGUCAUAUCUCCCAGUUACAUGAAGCUAGUAAUGUUGUUUCACUAAACUUGUUCCCCUACAUUAGAAAUAUGCUUGGUAAUGAGAUGUGGUUGAGUUUUCCUACAGAACUCAUAGGCAUGUGUAACUUAGUGUGUGCUUAGCUAAUUGUGGAACCAAAUCCUAAUUUUGUUUUUAUGCUUGUUCUGUCUUUUAAAAAUAAUGCCAACCAUGUUAUCUUAGGGUUUUCUUUGGUAAUCCAUUUGUGCUUGUCUUCAACUUAUAGAUCUUUGUUGUUGUUUGGUUCCUAAUUUCGUGCAAAAUGGUUUCUUUUGUCGUUCUUGUGUGAUUUUGGAUUGUUUUUAUCAAAGUUGUUUUGUUACUUAGUGAUUUCUUACUGUUUCUUUUAUUUUCCCAUGCAUUCAUGAGCAUUUGCACUCAUAACAUUUUUGGCUAGGGAAAGGUAAAAUGGUAAAUGCUAAGAUAAGGUAGUUUAUAAUUUAGAAAUGGGAUAACUUUCAAAAUACAUGUUGAGAAACCCUAAAAUGACCCCCACCUUUCUUUUGUGAAGUCUAAAUUGUUGAAAUCUUAUAUGUGUACACAAUCACCAUGAACCUAAAAGCCAUAUUUUCUUUCCAACCAAAUUGUUUUGUGAAGAAAAGAAAUUUAAUAUCAACUUAUAUAGGUAAAAGUGGCAAGAAGAAAUAAAAGUUUAUCUCUUGUCUAAGUAAAUGUGGCCCAAAAUACACCCUAUGCUUGUGCAAUAACUUAUGAAAUGCAACCUACACAUAAAAGCAUGAAAUUGAAAUCUUGCAUAUGCAUCUCGUGUAGAGCUAACUGUGCUGAUGGAAUGUACGAGCUCGGCCUAGAAUGCGAAGAAGGACACCCUUCCGCUGAGCUGGACAUAAUCAAGGCAAAAUCAAGGCCCGAACCGAGUUUGGAAGAGCCCAAGGCUGAGUUAGGGCAGGAAGGCAAGCCGCGGAGCAUAACCCUGUUUCCUAAAUUUAUGCACUACUUAUAUUGCUUAUGUUUGUGCAUUUAAGUUCAUAGGAGUUGCUUGAAACCCUAGUUGCAUGAUCCUAGGUACCUAUCUUCUGAAUACUAGUAUGUUAAGUUGAGUAGUUGCAAUGCUAAAUACGGACUCAGUAAAAGUCGAGUGAUUUCCUAUCAGUCAUGAGUUAUAGGAGUUGCUUGUUUACUUAUGUUGAAACCAUAAGGAUGACGGGCGGGGUCGGAUGCAAUGGGUUCUAAAUUGGUGGAUUGCCCCAUCUAUCUAGAAGAAAGCUGUUAAGGUCGAAAUGUGUUUAGAGUUGUGGUCAAGUGUUUGAAAGUACUAAUCUCAUACCUAGUAUGGGAUAGGGAAGCCUAGUACCUGAUUGAAUCGGGGCCUGAGCAGACCGCCCCACUGUCUCUGGAAUGGAGUUUCCCCUGCUGCAGCAUGUGGGUACAAGUGCAGUCAUGGUACGGCAUCAUCCGGGACCGUGGGGCAUUGUAAGCCAAGGGAAGUGAGCCUGACACGUGCCUGGGGAUUGGUGGGGACCAUUGACAAGUGAAGCGAACCCAUCAUGGUAUGCGGAUGUCGUGGGGUUAGGUUCACCUUGCAAGGUUAAGAAACUCGAUUCGAAUCAUCUGCCGCUCACAGUUUGAGACUGCUUGACCGCACUUCUGCACUGAGUAAGAAGAGGAACAAGGUAUGAUGGUUAAUAUUGAUGCUUGAAUUCAAUUGCUUGUUCACCAUGCUUGCUUAGAAUAGGUGCUUACCUAGAAUGGUUAAUCAACUAGAACCUGAUGCUAAAAUUUGAAAGUAAAGACCUACUUUAGAAGCAUUUGGCAAAACACACCCCUCAGCCAAAAAGCCUUGCAUGUCUAGGAGUCGGUGGAGUAGUUACCACUUAACGGGUAAGUCUUGCUGAGUAUUAGUAUACUCAGCCUUGCUUGUGGCUAUCUUUUUCAGGUGUUGCUUUGACUUGGUUGCUAGUGUGACUCGGCCAUCCUAACUCCCUCCGGGUUGGAAUGUUGAGUGGGAGCUGUCCUCGAUCGACGAGGAUCGUGGUGGUUGAUAUCAUGGCAGGCUUCACCAUUGUAUUGUUGUACCAACGUUAGACUAUCAUGUUUUUUUCCGCUGCUUUCGAACUCUGAAAACUUUACCUUAUAGCUUUGAAAUCCUGAGUUGUAAUAAAUGAAGUUGGGACCUUUAAUAAUAUAUCUGGGUUGUUGUAAUCUCUGGACUCAUCUUCGUGCGAGUAUGCUUUGUUACGAUCUGAGACCAAGUGGUUUUAUCAGGUGAAACCUGACGGAUUGCCAUUUUAAAUUGAUUAAAGUGUCCAUUCGCAUAUGAGGUGAUGUUGAGUACACUUUAGCCGGGUUAAUCCGAGCAGCCUGGGUGCCACAAUGUCAUCCCUCGAACACACCUAGAGUGCUCCCCGGUUCCGAUUGCAGCGGUUAGCUGAUCUUUCUCCCUGUCUGGCUAGAAAAGAUCCUUCUUUUGCGCAUUGGCGAGCUGUUCCAACCCCACGUAAAUUUCAUUUGUUCUUGGGUGUUUGAAUUUAACCUUGACAAUGGGUGUUACUUUAGGAAUUUGAGCUAGUACCCAAUUCCUACUGCACUCAUCCAAGCCUUCAAACAAAUCCGAUAAACCAGUUCCCCUCCAUUCUUCUUCUCCUCUCCUCCAUUUAGCGAUCUUGGCUGCGUACGCUCCGCACCCAAGUGAUCGGGGUUUUGCUCAGUGCUGGCGGGCAGCACCGCCCACGCAGAGGAGCUGCGGCCCGCUAGCACUGAGGCGUCCCCAUAUAACCCACGGUCGGGCACCAAAUUUUCUCUAACUCCCGGCGGUUUUGCAAAUCAAGCCGUCAGGCUGCUGGAUUCCACCAUGGCCCUCAAGCGCCACCGUCCUCACCAAGCGCUAUCGUCCCCUUCCCCGAGCGCCGCUGCCGCCACGCGUCAUCUGCUUGACCGCCUGUCCUCCCAGCAUUGUGCCCCCCGCUGGGCCGCUGUCCUUCUCGUCCACCAUUGUAGAUCUUGAAUGCCGCUACCGCGAGCUCUCCUCCACGUACACAGUGCGCAGCCGCUGGGCAGCCUCCCCUCCCCGUCCGCUGUCACGUCGCCGCCUGUCCGCCUCCUCCCCGGCCGCCACCGCUGGUCCACCUCCUCCCCGACUGCCGUCGCACAGCCUCCCCUCCCUGCCCAAAUCCGCCACAGCCACCGAGUGCCGCCAUCCUCCUUCCCGAGCGCCUCCGGGCCGCUGCUCCCCGCUGCCGUCGCGCCGGCUCCCCUCCCCGACCGGUUGUUUUUUCCAGUUUUUUUCCAUUUUGUUCAAGUAAAUUAAUUAAGAAGAAUAUGAUAUGAUUGGUGUAUAUGCAGAUCACACUAUAUUUUUCCAUUUUGAUUCCAUGCAAUUGCAACAUGAUUAAAAAUAUAUUAUGAUUAGUUUAUUAUGCAGAUCACACUAUAUUUGUUUAGAUAGGGAUUGUGUUUGGAAUUAAAAGUUGUUACCUUUUUCCAUUUUUAUUGCAUGCAAUUGCAAAAUGAUAAUAAAUAUGUUAUGAUUAGUUAUAACAAUGUUCAUGAGAUCUAAACCAACAAUUGUAAAUUUUUUCCAUUAUUUUGGAUAAUCUUUUAUUCUGAGCAUUUUGUAAAUUUUAUGUGGAUAGUUUGGGCUAACUAUGGCAAGUGGAAGUUCGUUUCCCCGUGGUGGUGGCGGCCAUGGAGGUGGCAGCCAUGGAGGUGGCAGGGGACAUUUUGGGCUCGAUGACACUCCCGCUAUUCAUCCAGGACUUCACAUCCAUGGCCCCGUGACUUGCCAUUCGCUGAUCGAAGCAAAGGAACAAUUCCCAACAUAGUAAUAUUCUUUCCUUCUUUUAAUUGAUUUUGUAACUACACAUGAAUAAAUUCUAAAUUUACUUACAUUAAUGCAGCUUAUCAAACCUAUUAGAUGGCUCAAAGAUGUUGUCAAAGCUUUAGAUGGUACUUCUCAUGUAGUGCAAACCGAGGACGUAGGUGUACCUAAUUUGAAAAGAGUACAUCUCUCUUUUUCAAGUCCAUGUUCGACAUCCAUAUUUCACCUCGUUGUCACCAGAACAGGCCAUUCCAAUGGUUUCAAUUGCCGCAUGGGUCAAAUAGCACUAACUAGGGUAACUGUUGAGAGGACCGUCGUGGAGGCCUGCCUAGAGCAACUUAAGGAUCAUGGGUACUUUGUGCUAGACUUUUCAUAUUUUCGAAUAAAGCAGCUCGAGGAGGGAGAAGGCAAUGUGACUGUGACUGCUGAGAGGCUUUCUUGGCUUCAUGACAUGGUAUAAAAUAUUCUUUUAUCAUUCUUUUAAGUUUAGUUAUGUUAUAUCUUUUAACUUUCAUCAUGUUAUAAUCAUCUUUUAUAGGAUAUAAAUGGUAGUACCAUUGUGGAAGUGAGAUUUCGUGCGAUUCUGGAUCAAGUCUUGGAAAAGUUUGAUUUGACUUACAUGGGUGGAAACCUGAUGUUCACCCCAGAUUUGAAGUUCCAGGCUUAUCUCACUUUCUAUAGGCCACAUCAGUUAACAUCUCCAAUGCUCUCUAGUUAUAGUGUAUGUGGUCAUCCAUGUGAAGCAAAGGAGAGUGCACUCAUCCAUGCUCUAACUUAUUUUGAUGAAGUUCUUGGCUGGACGAUUGGAGACCGCAACUAUAUUCCAUAUCUAAGGAAGCAAGCUGGAGUAUCAAAUAUGUAACAUGCAUGGUUGUACUGUUAUCCUUUUCUUAUGUAUUUGAACUUGUUUCAUCUAGGACCUUGAAGUAUUGAUGUAGUUACUUGCACUAUUAUCAAAACUGGUUAUAUUGUAUGUGGCAUGGACGUACCCUACCCUUUUCUUAUGCUGGCAGUCAGUUACAAGAUAAUAAAGUCUAAUCACAAUUAAUAAAGUAUUACAAGAUAAUUAAUAAGUAUUACAAGAAUAUUAAUAAGUCUUAAAACGUAACUAAUAAGGAAUGUUAAUUUAUCAUUUAACAAUUCUUCCUUCACAGUCAGUAUGUAACCAUGGCUUCAUGAAUUUAUCAAUGCUUACUUCAACACGCUUGAUUCUUCAUUCAUGGUCUUUGAAAAGGUCCAAUUCCUCAUACUGAUUGCAAUCCUCAAUGUCCACUACACCUUCAACUACAACGAUCCUUUGUUUUCCUGAGACGGCAACGUGCUUAUUUGCAUUCAUAAGGUUGGUUAUGUAGAAUACCUGUGCAACACGCUCAGCAAGUACCCAUGGGUCAUCUUUGUGACCUACAUUGGCUAGGUCUACAAGUGUCAACCCAUAAUUGUCAUCUGUAACACCAUUCGGGUGUUUGACCCAUUGGCACCGAAAGACGGAGAUCCGGAUAUUCUCUCCAUAGUCAAGUUCUCAUAUUUCCUCUAUGAAACCGUAGUAAGUUAUGUUUUGUCCAGAUGUAUCAAUCUCCUUUAUGCGAACACCACUGUUUUGGUAUGCCACACUUUUUUUGUCCUUUGUGGUGGUAUAAAAUGUGUAUCCAUUAAUUUCAUAUGCUUGCCAUGAGGUGACAUUGCUUGAUGGCCCAAACGCCAACCUGGUCAAUGUUACUUCUUCUGUGGAAUUUCCUUGAAAUAGCUACUCAUGAUCCUUCAACCAUGAUGGGAAACACCGUUUUUGCUCUUUGAUGAUCCAAUCCUCUUAGCGACCAUUACUUUGUCCAUGGACCUCAUUUAGGUGUUGCUCGAUGAAGAGAUCCACUAUUGCAAGCUAUUGUAGAAUGCUUGAAUGCGCUUUCUCCAAUUGUUGCUUGUCAUUGUCUAUAAAUCUUUUCAUUCCAAUGGUACCUCUCCCGGACAAUCUGCCCUCAUGUCGAGAUUUCGGUAAAUCAAUAGCUCUCUUAUCUUUUAUGGAAUCUAUGCAACAAUCUAAUGAGGACAUCACCUGCUCCGAUACAACCACAUUAGUAACUUUUGAUUCACAGGUGAAACAAUUCUUUACCAUUAUUGUAUUUGAUAUAUUUGAUGAAUUGAUGUUGCACCAUGAUGUGUGUUUGUUGUCAAUUUCAGAAAUACAUACAUGGAUAAAAAAUAGUGUUAAACACACAUGGAAGGUAUGGAGGAUCAAAGAAGUAGAUUGGGGGCCAAGUCCAAGUAUUCCCGACGUCCUCCACCAGGCCACCACGUCACUUUUGGCCAAAGGAAAGAAAGAGAUUCAAUCCAACCAUCACAAUCAACACUCUCUUCUAUAUGGUAGCUCUCGAUCAUGCUGCCCUCUGUAAAGGUCUUGUUUCUCAUGUAUCCAUUGAGAUUUGACAUGAACUAUUUGCAUGUCCACAUCUGAUGGAAGUACAUAGGCCCUAGUUCAGUUAUUUACUGAACCAUGUGGACCAUGAGAUAUUCCAUGAUAUUGAAAAAGGACGAAGGGAAGCACAUAUUGAGCUGGGCCUAAAUUUCCAGUACAAACAGUUGAAGCCUAGCCAACUCGACACAAUCGAUCACUUUCUACAAAAUCACGUUGAAGAAGUAACAUAUCCGUGUGAUAACAUGAUCAUUUUCAUUUACAUCAUCACCACCCACUUCGUCACGGUCACUGUCGAUGUCUGUGUUGUUGAAAGUACCUCCUGCCUCACAGUGGUGGGACCAAAUUGUGUAUCCAUCCACAAACCCUCGCUUUAUCAAAUACCUCUUGAUGACAUCAGUAUCGUCCCAUACAAUAUUGUUGCAAACGUGAGCGUGCUUCUUCGUAGCGUCUGACAUGAAAGUAUGCGAAUGUCUCCGUAUGCCAUACAUACAUGCUCUAUUACCCAUAUUUAACAACCUAUGACCAGAAUUAUAUGUUAUACUAACUAAUUUAAUGAGCUAUGGGUUGCAAUUCUAUAAACUAAAAUAAAUUAUGGAUGUAGUAACUAAUAAGUAGAAAGAAAUAUAAUAAAAAUAAUUCUAUAUUACCCUAAAUGAAACUCAAUUAAACCUUAGAUGUUAUAAUUAAUAAGAAGAAGGAAAAAAAUCAAACUUAAUUAUCUAUUAAUUCAAUCAACUUCAUUAAUUAAAACUAUGGAUGUAAUAAUUAAUAAGAGAAAAAAUAUAGUAAUUUGCCAGUUCUAUAUUACCCUAUAUGAGACUCAAUUGAACCAUGGAUGCAAUAAUUAAUAAGAAGAAGGAAAAAAAUCAAAUUCAAUUAUAUAUUAAGAUAAUCAACUUCAUUAAUUACAACUACGAACAUAAUAAUUAAUAAGUAGGAAAAAUAUAAUCAAACUCAAUUGUAUAUUACAUUAAAAUGACAAACAUAGCAUUGUAAUGGUUAUAAUAUGACCAUAGAAUUUUAUUUAAAAAAUAAUCCAUUUCUAGUUAUUUUCUCUCUCUUCCCUCCUCUCUCUCCUAGUUCUAGAUCUAGAUGACAACCUAAUAAAGCUAGAAAUGACGGAUAGAAGUUGAAAAAGAAGGUUGGAAUGACACAAACUCACCUUAUAUAGCCACCUCCUCCCAAGAAAUCAGGAACAAAACCUUCACCCUUGGAUUUGGUGUUUUUGGAGCUUUUCCCGAGCUCCACUCGGGCAAGCUCCAAAUGGAAGGUUGCCUGGGAAAGAAGAUGCCUGCGGCCUUAAAUGGGCUAGCUCUGUGCUGGCGAGCGACAUAAGCCAACCGCCAGCACAGUUGGGGUGCAUCUAUGCUGGCGGAUGCUUAGGUUGCUCGCUAGUACAGUGGCCUCUAUGCUGGUGGGCGACAUAAGCCCACCGCUGGCAGGUCCUUGCGUCGCCCGCCACCACAGUAGCUUCUAUGCUGGCGGGUGCUAAUCACGCCCGCUAGCACGCUAAUUUGCUAGUGCCAGCACAAAUCAAAUCUGGUGUAGUGAUGGGGGUAUGAAGCCUCUGGAGGUCAACUUGCGACAAAUAAUAGAGGCAGGAAUGAUUCGGGAUGUGCCGAUCAUCCUAGAUGUUUCCCAGGUCUCCCAUAGUCUCCCGCAGAUCAGCCUUGUAGAUCUGAUUCUUCUCUAUUCCUGAUCUUGUGGUUGUGCAAUGUCUAGAAUGUGGCGAAUGUGAAUAUCUUUCAUGUGGUCCUUCUGGGGGUAUAUAUAGUGCUGCUCCAAGUCAGUUUGCAGGCAUCUAUGGGUGAAUGGUCGAUGGAAAAAUUCUAGAAUCUUCGUAGACUUUGCGCUGAAGAAAUGAGAGCUCAAUCAAGAUCGAGAAUGGGCUAGGCUGAUCAGUUUGAGCCCUUUCUGGAUCUCCCGAUCUUCAUCUUCCUCAUGUGAGCCUUCCUCGACAAUCCUCGUCCAGUUGUACAACAAGAUUGUACCAAAUACCCUUUGAUUAUGUUGUAUUUCCUAGCAAUACAUAAUAUGCUUUGAAAUACAACAUAUACACAAUAAUGGGGUUAUUUCAUAUGUCAAGUGGUGGGUUAGAGUAACAAUUGAUCCAUAAUCAUCACUUAUUCAGUAGUAAAAAAGUGUCAUCAAGCUCUACUGGUGCAUUUUGGACCAGUAAUGGAACCUGUUACAGAGUUUAGGGACAUAAUACACGUUUUGAGAGUUUGGUGACUUGGUCAACAUAGGGGACAUGUUUGGGGACCUAUAUGACAUAGCGGGGCCCCUCAUUGUUCACAACUAGAGAAGGCCCGUUUAGUACACAUGCUCAACCCCCUUUAGUACCGGUUUCGCAACCGGUACUGCUAAGUCGGUACUAAAGGAGGGUCGUUUAGUACCGGGUCAAAUAACUAGUACUAAAGGGUCUAUAUUAGUACCGGUUGGUGUUAUCAACUGGUACUAAACUAUUUUUCGCCCUAAAACUAAAGAAAAAAAAUUGAUGAAUACCCUCAUUCGGGAUGUGCCGAUCAUCCUAGAUGUUUCCCAAGUCUCCCAUAGUCUCCCGCAACUCAGCCUUGUAAAUCUGAUUCUUCUCUAUUCCUGACCUUGUGGUUGUGCAAUGUCUAGAAUGUGGCGAAUGUGAAUAUCUUUCAUGUGGUCCUUCUGGGGGUAUAUAUAGUGCUACUCCAAGUCAGUCUGCAGGCAUCUAUGGGUGAAUGGUCGAUGGAAAAAUUCUAGAAUCUUUGUAGACUUUGCGCUGAAGAAAUGAGAGCUCAAUCAAGAUCGAGAAUGGGCCAGGCUGAUCAGUAGUGGUUGCAAGAAACACUACACGGGAAGAAGAAUACAUAUACUGGGCGCAAAUUAAGCACAUAAGUAUACACAUACUAGACAGCCAUCCUCUCUCCUCUUGUCCAAAUGCAAACAAUACUAGGGAAUCCACGUUUAGUACCGGCUCGGAACCUCCCUCUAGUACCGGUUGUGCAACCGGUACUAGCAAUUCGGUACUAGAGUGGGUCCUUUAGUACCAGUUGAAAUAACCUUAGUACCGGUUGCUAAAUUAACAUGAUGUAAUUUUCACUUAUUUUUAUACAUUUCAAAGAAUUACAUGAUUCCCUACAAUUUCUUAUACAAAAUUGUGCAUAUAUUUUAAAAAAUAAAUAUGAGCUCUAAAUAACACAUUCAUAUAAAUGAAAAAUUUCUCCAUUGUACCUUAUUCUAAAAAUCACAAAUUAUUCUAGCUCUAAAGCAUAAAACUUACUAUACUAACCAUGUAUCAAGGGAGGAUGAAGUUUCUAACCUUUAGAAUACUCGAAUGAGUGAAAUCCCCAACAAAUGGUCAAAAAUCCGACAGCACCUCCCCUAUGGUGCCAUGGAUAGAGAAUAUAGAAAAAUUCUUUAAUUAGUGAGAAAUGAACAUUAUUUCCUACAAUUUGAUAACAUAAUUGUUGAAAUAACCAUUAAACUCAAAUGUUGCUGAAAGUUUAGAUAGAAAUACACAAAUUAAAAUUUUAGACCCAAACAAUAUGAUACACUACGACAAACUCAAAUGUUGUUGAAAGUUUAGAUAGAAAUACACAAAUUUAAAUUUCAAACGCAAACAACAUGAUACACUAUGACAAACCAUCCAUUGAGUACUAUCUAGAAGGACUUUAAGCAUCCUUGGGCAGCGAACACGAAGGUUGCGCUAACCCAGCCUCAUCAUGUGGUUUAUUUGUGCCUUCUGCAACGGUAGUACUAAGUGGACCUGAAACACCUGAGACUGGCGGUGGAGCAUAACGACCACCAAAAUGAGGUUUUUUACCCACCGCAACAAUAUUUUUAUGACAUCUUCGCAAAUAACGAAGUAUUGCUUUCUCCAACGUGCUCAUUUUCUUCAGCUUAUCAUGAGAGCUAACCCCUUGUUGCGAGAGGAACGAUGAUCACCCCACCAUCGCCACUACCUCUAGCAGCAGAAGCCAUCUCUAUGUACCACAAUUUAUUUAGCUCAUAUUUACAAAUGACUAAACUAUGAACAAAUUAUAUAUUUUCCAUGUAAUUUAAUUAGCUCAAACAUAAUAUAUAAAUAAAAAAUUUCUCCAUUGUAGCUUAUUCUAAAAAUGACUAAUUACGUACCUCUAUUUCAUCUUAUUAUCGAUCUCUAUGUACCACAGUUUAUCUCGCUCGCAUUUGCCAUAAUUUAUUUAGCUCAUAUUUGAAAAAUACUAAACUCUAACCUCAUAUCAAUUUCUUUGACUAGUAUGAAACAUAGCAUCCAAACAAUUGUAGCUUAUUCCAAAAAUCACAAAUUACUCUAAGUCUAAAGCAUAAAACUUAGUAUACUAACCAUGUAUCAAGUGAGGAUGAAGUUUCUAACCUUAAGAACACUCGAAUGAGUGAAAUCCUCAAGAAAUGGUCACAAAUCCGACAGCACCUCCCCCUAUUUCGCCAUGGAUAAGGUGAAGCUCAAGUUGGAGGAGAUGGCUCGGGCUGCAGGAAGAAGGAUGGGUAUUUAUAGGAGGGAUUUUAGUACCGGUUGGGGGCACCAACCGGUACUAAAGGGGGGGAAAUUAGUACCAGUUGAUGCCCUAACCUGGUACUAAAGGGGGUGUGCCACAUUAGUACCGGGUUAGGGCAGCAACCGAUACUAAAGGGGGUGGCGCAUUAGUACCAGUUGGAUCCACCAACCAGUACUACCUUUAGUACCAGUUGUUGCCUCUAACCGGUACUAAGGGGCUCACAGUGCCCUCUCAGGGACUAGCCGGGCAAAAAGUGAUCAGUCUCGGGACGAGAGCUCCAUUCCCUAGUAGUGAAAGUAAGCAAUACAUGCGAGUUGAUGAGAACAAAAGAAAGAAGAAAUGCAUACUAGAAUUACAAAUCAACAGCCCGAAUUUGCAUUAAUAGAUACAGAAUGCGUACUCCUUUGCUCUCAAAAGUUUUUCAUAGUACACUUUCCCAUCCAUGACGGACGUCUAGUUAGACUCGAGCUGCGCGUACCAGAUCCCCUGGAUCUUCACAUCCUUAGGUGCCUUGGCCCCAAGGUCGGUGUCCGACGGCUGCACACUCUCGAAGACACCGAUGACCUCGCCAGUUUCCGGGUUGCUCUUGGUGACGCUCAAUGUGAUGUUGCCCGUCGACGACGCAGCGUUCUUGAUGUUCUCCUUCACGAGCUCCUCCUCGUCUCCCCUGCCUCCGGCGGGGAGCGCGACGGCGUUGUCGUACCCGGUCGAACCACCACGGCCCUUGGGGUCGAGGAAGGAGGAGCCACGGUAGCUGGGCACGAGGAAGGGCCCGCCGAAGCUCUCGGGCUUGCCGGUGGCGACGAGCUGCUUGACGGUGAAGAGGAACGGCACGCGCUCGCCUCCUGGAAGCUGCACGGUGACGGCGGCGUAGUCGAUGCCGUCCUUCUCCUCGAACUUGAGGGUGCCGUCGGAGCCGACCUCGAGCGGGCCCUCGAUCUCGUCGAGGGUGUAGGUGAGGCGGGUCAUGAGCUUGGUCUUCUGGAACUCGGGCGGGGCGUUCUUGGCGAUGCCCUCGGCCUUGACGGUGAAGGACGUCGGCUCCAGGCAGAACUUCUUCAUCUGGUACUUGCCGGCCUUGAACGGGAAGGAGUCGACGCCGCCGUCGAUGGUCGGGCACUGGUUCGCCGUGCCCGUGCCCUUCACCUCCAUGUACGUCUUGCUCUGGAUCUCGUCGUAGGUCAGCCUCUUGGGCGUGCCCUCCGCGCUCGCGCCCUGUAACACGCACGCACACGUCAUCAAUUUGUCUCCCAAGUCCCAACUAUGAUAACAAAUCGGAUUCAGCCACGGUUGCUUACCGAGACGAGGAGCGCCGAUGUGGCGAGCGCGAAGCCGGCGAGCUUGGCGGCGUCGAUGCACUUGCUGGCGACCUCCCUGACGUCGGACUGCAGGGAGCACGAGAUCCUGCCCGCGCCGGCGUCGACGCCGAACGCCCUGGCGACGUGGGAGGCCUGGCGGGACGGCAGCGAGGCGGAGGCCCGGCCGCCGAUCUUGGCCGGCUGCAUUAGGGUGGCCGCGGCUUGGAGUGACGCUGCCAUGGUCGUCGUCGCUGCGCCUGCGCUGUCCUGCCUCUG
rnacentral:lncRNA from 1 species